UUUGAUUAAGUUAUUAUUUAAUUUAAUUUUAGCUUUAUUAUUUCGGACAUUUACUAAAUUUACCUACUCAUCCUAACCAUCAUCAAAACAUUUUUUUUUUGUUAGAUUCAUAUUGGUUGAAAACCAAAAAAAAAAAAUGAUUGGAUCUGCAACUCAUGAUGAUGAAUGGGUUGCUUCACUGAAUACAUGGGUCAAUCAAACAAUCAGCUUAUUUCACUAUAUAAAUUAUAUUAUUUGAUAUUGAUAAAAUAGAAGUAGCUAAUUUAAAUCUAUAAUUAGAAAUUUAAAAUUGAGCCAUAUUCAAAAUAAAUUUAUUAGAUUACUUUCUAUAUAGAAUUUAAAUAUUCUACAAAAAUAUAUUGGUUAGAAAAUUCUUUAAUGAAUAUUAGAUAAAUUAAAUAGCCUAUCUAAACAUUUUGAUUAGAUUACAUUUAAUAUUAUUGGUUGUAUUAUAUUUUAUAUUUAUUAGAUAAUAUCCAAAUACAAUGUAAUCCAAUAAAUCAAAUAGCUUAUUUAAAUAUUUUUAUUCAUAUAUAGGUUCAUAUAUUUUUAUUUAAGAUUAAUUUCUUAUUUAUUUAAUUUUUUUUAAAGAUUAAAUUCUAAAUUACAAGGAAUAAAUAUAAAUUUUAAAUCUUAGCAUCUAUUUUUCAAAAAAACUAAAAACUAAAAAAUAAUUUAUAAAAUCUUUAUAUUAAAAUUAAUCCAGUAUAAAUUUGAUAAUAUAUAUUCUUAAAUUUUUAAAAAGAAUAAGCAAGAUUUGCCAAAAAUCAUGCAUUCUAAUAAAAUUUAUAUAAAUUUGAAAUCACUCCAUUUUAAAAAAUCUUUCAAUAUUCUAUUUAAUAAAAAAUAAUUUAAUAUAAAAUAAGAUUUAUAUUAAAUUUUAUUAGAAAUAUUAUCUAAAAUAUUUUAUUUUAUUUGAAACCAAAAUAGUCCAAUUUAUUUUUUUAAAGAAUGUAAGUGUAGCUUUGGACUUACUUUAACAAAAUUAUGUAUUAAUCUAAUUUUAUGUUUUAAAAUUAAAUUGUGAUAUUAACUAUAUUUUAUUAUUAUUAAUAUUAUAUAUAUACAUAUAAUAUAUAAUCUUAUUAUAAAAUAUUAUAAUUUUUUUAAUUUAUCAAAGAUUAUUUUGUUAAUAUAAUUAUUUAAAAUUGUAAUAUUUUUUGAUUUAAAAAUCAUUUUUAAAUUUAAAAAAUAUAAAAAAUUAUAUUAAUUUGAAUUCUUCUAAAGCUAAUGAUUUCUUUGUAUUGAAAAAAAAAUUAAAGACACGUUGUAACAAUAUUUUUAUAUUAAAUUCAUUAUAAUAUAUAAUAUUGAAAUAAAAUAAUAAGGUAUUAAUAAUAAAUUUAAAUUUAUUUAUAUAGAAAAUUAAUAAUACUAUAUCUCUAAUUGAUUACGUAUCAUAGAUAUAUAUAUAUAGUUAUCUAGAUAAUAUAAAUAAAUUGAAGUAGAUUAAAGUACAUAAAUUAUAAUAUCUUGUAGAGAAGCUUUCUAGAAGCUUCAUAGAUGCGGCUUUGACUUUAUUUGUAUUUUUAGUUGAUUAAUAGGUUAAAAACUUGGCUAAUAAGUUAAUCAUAUGUUGUAUAUAUUGGUAGCUUAUGGUACAAGCUACCUAUGUGGUGUGCAUUUAAAAAACUUACUUUACAAGUUAAAAAAUAUGUCUUAUAAAUUCGACACAUGUUAGAGGCCACAUAGUAUAUAUGAAAGCAAGAGUGAAGUCUUCUUCAAUAUUAUCAAUUCUUUUCUAGUUUUUAGUCUUAUUUUAAGACUGUCCAAUCUUCUUGUCUUUGGCAAUAGCUAUUUUAAUUUAAUAUUAUACCAUCUUUGAAUAAUGUUUUAGUCUUUUCAAGUAAUACAAGAGUGUAUUGAUCUUUUGAUUCUUUAAAAUUUAUAUCCUUGAUAGUUUAUUAAUAGUACUAAGUCAUUAUUAUUUUUUUGUUUUUAGAAGUGAGUGGAUUAUUCCACUUCUAUUAUUAUAUUUUAAAGGAUGCAAACUACCCACUUUUAAACUAAUAAUUUAAUUAUCUAACAAUAAUUUCAUUUCUUUAAAGAGAGUCAACUACUCUUCUUUGUGAAACUUUUUAUUAUAUAUUAAAGAUUGCAUAUUAUCUUUUUUUAAUAUGACUUAUGAGAUUAUUUGAAUUGUCUAUGAAAGAAAAAAUUAUAAAUGAUAUUCUCAUUAAAAGUAAUAAUAGAUUUGCAACUACUAUAGAUUGUCAUGAGCUUGCCAACAUUCUUACGAUUGAAAUCUCAUGUAUUUCUAAUAUAAAUCAUGGAAGUACUAUUCUUAUUGUAAGUCAUUAAAUUGACUCACUAGUUAUUUUAGAACAAAAAGAUAUAUUUAAAGUACUUAAAAUUACAAUAUAUGGUAAAUAGUAUAGAAAUCUUUAGACAAAUUAAAAAUUAGAAUGUUAAUUGUAAAAUUGGAGUCUUAAUAAGUCUUAGAGGUAAUUAUCUUAAUUGAUUUAGUAUUUUUACUUAUUAUUAAAGUAUUAAAGGUUACUUAUUAAGAUCAAUAAUUAUUUUGACCUUCUAUCUAUAUGUAUUAGUUAUAAAAAACUAUAAAUGUUAGUUAGUAGUUAGAAGACGUAUGAAAAAGAACUUCAUGUCUUUUUAAUUAGUUGUAUAGAAAAUAGGAUUUAUAGUUGAUUUAAAUUGAUUUUAUUACUAUAAAAAAUAAAAAACAUAGGAAAAUAUCUAAAAAUACAUAUAUUUUUAUUUUAUUUUAUUUUAUUUUUAUGUUAUUAGAUAAAAAUCUAAUAAAUAGAUUGUGAUUAGUUUUAUAAUGUAUAAUUGUUUAAUUGCACUUAUUUCACUUGUUUUAUAUUGUGCUUCUUUUGUUAUUGUUCUUGAUAUUUCUACUUCAUACCACCAAUUAUAAGAAACUCUUAAUUGAGGCCAUCUUGUAAUUUGGAUUGAAAGAUGAAUUUUGUCUUUACUUAUAUGUAUCGAAGAAGUCAACAAUGAGGUUUAGAUUUUAUGCUAAAAAGUUAUACAAAUGAGAGAAGUAAGUAGAUUAAAUUGACAACAAAAUCCAAAUAGACUUAUUACUAAAAAUGUAAAAGAAUUAAAGAUAAAUAUGCUUAAAAAAUUUGGCAAAACAAGAUCAUAGUUUUGAGAAUUUUUACAACAAUUGUAGUUCUAUCUAAAGUUGCACCUUUCUAAUGUUUUGACGGAUUUACUCAAGUUGGAUUCAUAGAUACAAUUCUAUCUGAAAGCUAUUUUUUUUAUUAUUUAUACUUUUGAUAGAAAAGGAUUCAUGAUUCUUUUAUGAUUUGAAUUCAUUUUUAGAAGUUUUUAUGACUACAUUUGAAAAAAAUGAUUGAAAAAAGAUAAUAGAGACCAAAUUCUUAUCUUUAUAACAAAGAUUAUAUUUAACUAGCAUAUAUAUUGUAAAAUUCUAAAAUUUUUCUUGUACUAUGGAUUGAAAUGACAAAGCCCUUAUUAAUCAAUUUUGAUAUGUAUUGAAAGACAAUAUUAAAGAUUUAUUGUUGAAAUUAUUGAGAAUAACCUCAUUAAAAUAAUUUAUUACUCAAGCCAUUGCAUAUAAAAAUUGACUCUUUGAAAGAUGCCAAGAAUAAAGAUUUGAUUGAAGAAGUACAAAUGAAGAUAUAAUGAUAAUCUCCAAGUUUUCAAAAGCUUAUUUAUUAAGGCUAGAAUGUAUGCAAAUUGAUAUAGUACAUUUUAAAUUUCUUAUUGAGCAAGAAAAGACUCGAUGUUGUCAAAAAGGAUUAUACUUUUAUUAUAGAAAAUCCAAGCACACUCAUCAAUAUUGUCUUAAGAAGCAACAUAAUCACAAAAUAAAGAGCAUAGUUACCAAAGAAGAUAAGGUGUCAAAAAAUGAGUUUUUCCAAAUACAAUAGAAAUCAUAUAGCUAGAAUAUUACCUAAAACUUAAUAAAGGUUUUAUUCUCUACUCAAAUCAUUUAUCUUAUUUUACAAAAGAAGUUUGGUUAAAGCCAAAAAAAUCACAAAGUCUUUAUUUUUUUAAAUUCAAGAGUCUUAUUUUUUUAAUAGAUAAAGUCUUUAUUAAAAUAUAAAAUAUAUUUAAUUAAAAAAAUAAAUACAUAUAUGUAAAAUUCAUAGAUGGUUGUUUGUUAUCAUUUGAAAAAAUUAUCUAUAAAAUAAUUCUUUUAGAUAUAUCAAUUAAAAAUUAUAAUAGCUUGAUAAUAUUUAAUAUCAUUAGAUUUCCUUCUAAUCUAAUUAUUUUAGGAUUUUCAUGGCUAAAGAAGUAUAAUAUUCAAAAAGAUUAGAUUUCUUAUAAUUUAAAUUUUUCUUAUAAUUUUUUUAAUGAAGUAAAAAUUCAUAAGUCCAAUAUAACCAAAGUCUUAUUGUUAGGUCUAAGAGCUUUUAUACAUGUUGCAAAAGAAAUGUCAAUUUUUGUUAUAUAUGCUAUAUCUAUUUUUGAUAGAAAAAAGACUUCAAGUAGCAUUUUAAGCUGAUAUCAAGAUUAUGAAGAUAUUUUUGAAAAAAAAAUGCAAAUAUUUCUUUAGAGCAUCACUUCUAUAACUAUUCUGUUAAUCUUUAAGAAAUUCAACUACUAUUUGGACGAAUCUAUAAUUUAUUAAAAAUCAAAUUGACUACACUUAAGGAAUAUAUUAAGGAGAAUUUAACUAAAAAAUUCAUAUGCCAUUCUAAUUUUUCAAUAGAAGCUCCCAUCUUAUUUGUAAAGAAAAAAAAUGGAUCUUUAUAGAUGUAUGUGGACUAUUGAGGAUUCAAUAAGAUCACUAUAAAAAAUAGAUAUCUUCUAUUUUUUUAUUUCAAGACUUUUUGAUUGACUUAAUUAAACAAAGAUUUAUAGAAAAAUAGAUCUAUAAGGAGCAUACAAUUUGAUAUACAUUAAAGAAGGAGAUGAAUAUAAAAUUACAUUUCAAAUAAAGUAUGGGCAUUUCAAACAUUAUGUGACAUAUUUUAGACACACAAAUACACCAAUUGCUUUUCAACAUCUUAUGAGUAAUGUCUUUUAUGAAUUUCUUGAUGAUUUUUUCAUCUAUUAUCUAAAAAAUAUUUUAAUCUAUUUUAAGAAUAUAAAAGAGCAUGAAUUAUAUAUUUUUUAUGUAUUAUAAAAACUUAAAAAUACAAAAUUAUAUGCCAAAAUUAAAAAGUAUAUAUUUAAUAUUACUCAAGUUGACUUCUUAAGAUAUAUUAUUUGAAACGAUUGCCUUAUGAUAGAUCCCAAGAAGGACUAGACUAUCAUAUAUUGGAAGAUCUCAAAAAUAGUUAGAGACGUAUAACAUUUUUUGAGAUUUUCCAAUCAUUAUUGCAUCUUCAUCAAGAACUUUUCUCAAGUUGCAACUCUUUUUAUACAUCUAAUAUGUAAGCUUUAGUAGAAAAAAGAAGUUGAAGUAUCUUUUGAUGUCUUAAAGAAAUUAUUUAUAUUUGCAACAAUCUUUUGUAUGGACUUUUCUAAGGUGUUCUUUAUAAAACAAACACAUUAGACUUUGCUAUUAGUAUAGUAUUGCUACAAAUAGGAAUAGAUAAUAAGUUCCAUCUAAUAUCUUUUUAUUGUGAGAAUUUUUUAAAAACUAAGAUUAACUAAAAGAUCCAUGAUAAAGAACUUGUAAUUGUGGAUUCAUUUCAAGAAUGGUGUCAUUAUCUAAAAGGUUCUUCUAAUCUAGUCAUUGUGUAUAUGGUGUUGUAUUAUGUGAAGUCUUACUUGAAAAUAUGUUGAGCACCUAACUAUAGAAAGUAAAAGAAAAUUACAAUAAUAAGUCCUAAAAAUUCUAAUAGGAUUAUAUAUAAAUAUAAUUUAAAGCUUAACAAAUAUAAUCAAAUAUUAAUUAAAUCUAAUUAAUUUUUUAAAAUAAAUUAUAAAAAAUACAAAAAUUUCUUUAAUAAAUCUUAAUUUAAUUUUAAUCAAAUCCUAAAAAAAUUCUAGACAAAUUCUAAAUAAAGUUUUAAAAAAAUCUAAUCAAAUCUUUGACAAAUCAUAAAAAAAUUCUAGACAUAUCCUAAAUAAAAUUUUAAAAAAUCCUAAUCAAAUCCUAGAAAAAUCCUAGACAAAUCCUAAUUAAAUCUUAGAUCCUAAACCAAUUCUAAAUCUUAAACAAAUUCUUACCUAAUCCUAUGGUAGAUUGAAACUUCUAUAAAUAACAAUCAAACUAUUAAUUUCAAUUCAAAUUUGAAUAAUUUUUAAUAAAUAAUUUGAUAAUAAAUACAAAUAUUUUUAAAAAGAUCAAAUUUACCAAAUAGAAGAUAAAUCCUAAAAUUUCCUUGGAUAUUAGUGAGCCUUCUUCUUCAAUCUUAAUACCAAUCUCUUUGAGCCAAAAUCUCUUAAUUCCACUAUUAAAUGCCUUUCAAAAUUCACAUGUAUGUUGAAAAUCAAGUCUACUAUUUAUAUGUACAAAUUUCACUUCAAUUCAACUAACAAAUUGUUAAAGAUUAUAGAAACCCUCACUAGCCUUUAAAAUCCCAUUUUUGAGAUCCCAACUCACUUAAACUUCAAUAACCUUUAAUCUAACUAUUUGAUGACGCUCAAAUUUAUAGCACAUAAUAAAAAAUAAUUAUUCUUUUAUAGCCUUAUUUAUGGCUUUAUUUAUAAAUAAAUCCAUAAAUAGUUAUUUAUAGUCUCAAAGAUUUUUUUGCAAAUCAAAGAAUGGAAUUUAAAAGACAACUUCAUAGGAUUUCUUUAAGCAUGGAUUUUGAGAAAUUUGAAUUUAUAAUGACUUUAUAAAAGCUUUACAAAGUUAGGAUUAUUUUAGUAAAUUUGAUUUUAUAUAAUUAAAAAAAUAUUUAUAUUUAAAAAAAAUAAAUUUGAUAGUAUAUCUAUGGAUGAAAUUUUUUGGAUCUAUUUAUGGUCUUAUUUAUAUCCCUAAAAAAUAAAUAAAAACCUACUUUAUAAAAAGGUAAAAGUUACUUUUUUAAUUUUACUACCUUUUGACUAUUAUCUAUAUUUUCAAGAUAAAUAGAUCUAAAAAAAUUUGGAUCUAUUUUUAUAAUAUUUUGAAAUAAUAUAUUAUAUAAUAUAAUAUUUUCUUCACUUUUUCACCUAUUAGCCAUGUUAUAUCAUAACAUCUAUCCUCCCUGAACUUUUGCAUCUUUUAGCAUACAUCAAAUUUUCUUCAUCAUAUUGAUAUAGAAUAUUCUUCAUCUUGGUAAAAUUCUUAAUCUUUAAGUCCUAUAGUCCUAUUUCAAUCUCUUAUAAUAGAUUUUAUUUUUCAUUAAAAUAAAUAUCUUCAAUUCUUUCUUUAAAUAAUUUGAUUUACUUAUCUGCCAUAUGUAUCUUCAAUUCUAUAUCAUUAAGUUCUUGUAACAAGUAUAUUCCAUCGUUGUAUAUUUUUUUGACAACAUAAGGUCUAAACCAUCUCUUUGCAAACUUCUUUAUUGUGUUAUGUUGAUUAUCUAAGCUAUUAUCAUAAACUAACACUCAAUCACUAUCUUCAAUUACUUUAGAUUGUAGUUGAUGUUUUUUUAUGAAAUCUUUCUUUAUUCUUUUUCCUUGCAUCUUUCAACCUUUCCAUUACCUCUUCAAUAUUAUUAGGUCUUCUUUCUAAUUAUUGAAUCCAUAAUGCUAAAAGUUCUUUUCUAUUGAGAUCAUCCUUCCAAAGUAAUAUAUUCCAUAUAGGCACUACCUCUUCUAUUGACAUUAUUGAUUUUUUUUUCAUAUAUUAAUGCAAAAAGAAAAUAAUCUAUUAUUGAACUAUGAGUUCUAAAAUUUGAUCAAUAGUCCAAAUUAUAAUAGUCUAGAUUAUUCAUAUGCUUUGCUAUUACAUGCCUUUAUUAUUGCCUUAAUCAUAGAUGAAUGUCUAUGCUUAUUCUUACCAUUACCUUCUAGAUUAUAUAUUAGUAUUGAAGAAAUUUUAAUUCCUAUUCUAUUAAAGAAUUUUGAUACUUCCCUUGUAUCCAAUUCAUCCUUAUUUUUUGUAAUUUUUUCAAUAUAAACAUAGCAAAAAAUAACAUCUUCCAAUAAAAAUUAGCAUAUACUUAUAGUACCCUUUGUUCUAAAUGUUUGUCCUUCAAUUACAUUUGAUAAAUCUUCUUGUGUAAGUAUCAAAUACUUCAUUUGUCCAAGCUCUAUGGGCAUUGCCACUAAAUCUACUAUCCACUUAUAAUGUAAAGCUAAAAGAUAUGUUAGAUGUAAUACAUCUUGAUGCCAAAUGUUUGAAUAUACUUAACAAGUCACACAAGAUUCUACAAAAUUUGCUACAUCUUUGUCCAUAUCUUUCUACUAAUAUUUUUCUUUCAACUUAAUAAAUGUUGCCCAAAUACCUCAACGCCCAGCCUACCAACUCUUAUGGAAUUCUUUAAUGAUCUUUUGUUGAGUCUCAAUUCUAUUUACAAUUCAUUGUGGUAUUCCACCUUUUUCUCUGAAUGCUUCUAUAAAAAACCAUUUGAAGAAAAUAUCUAUAUGUAUUCCUUCAAAUCCUCUUAAAUUCUUAAACCAUCCAACCUUCUUGCUAGAUUAAUGUACUAAAGUAUUUUCCUAUGUACAACCAUUCGCCAUCAUAUAAUUCUUUUGAGAAUAAUUCAAGUGGUUUAGUCAAACACAACUCAUUCCUUCUUGUAUACGAAAUUGAAUAAAAGUCAGUGCCAAUAUUUUCUUCAUCAAUCUUUUAUUAAAAUAAUAUACUAUAGAAUUCUCUAAAAAUUAAUUUAUAGAAAAAAAGAUAUUUAUUGAUGUUUUUUUUAUUAUUUACAUAUAAAUAAGAUUUACACUAAAAUAUUUUUACAUCCUAUAUAUGUUUAGAAACAUCUAAUUUUUUGUUUUAUAAAUUUUUUAUUUUCUCUUAGAAGUUUUAUGACUAAUUUUAACUUUAAGUUAUAUUCUAUUAAAUUUAUUAAUUCUUUCUCUUAUAAAUUCUUAUUUCAUAAUAAAUAUUUAUAAUUAAAAUACACAUUAAUGAAUUAUUUUAUAUUCAAAAUUUAAAAAAUUACUUUAAAAUAUCUCAAAACCAUCUUUUUAUUCUUUUGUUUUAGUCAAUAAAUAUAUAUAUAUAUAUAUAUAUAUAUAUAAAAUGAAAAACCUACCAAAACUGUGGACCAUGUACUUGGGUAUCCAAAUCUACUCAAAUCAGAGCAAAGACUCACAACAACAGCAACACUAGUCUCUAGAAAACCAACAACCACAAAUGUGACAGAGAAGUGUUCCAAUUGCUCAAUUCUGCCGAAGUGUGUUCCAUCUCAUUAUUAUAAUAAUAAUAAUACCUGCACCACAAGUAUCCACAAUGCUACUGAGCAUCAUCAAGGAUGUGAAUCAGAUGCGUCAACAAUGCUUAGCAAAGUGGGGUCCCUCUCUCUCUCUCCCUCAAGUGAACUAAAUUGCUGUGCAGGCUGCAUAGAUCAAGUCAUGAGACGGCGAUUGAUGCCAACGCUGAAUUCAGCUGCUUCACACUGAUCGAGAACCCAAUCCCCAGGACUUGACUCGGCGCUGCGAUGCUUUGGGGUCGCGAUCUUAUCAUUCCAGUGUCCGGCAGUGCGACAAGGCCUCGUCAAUAUGGCCCUUCUCUUGUCAUAGCACAACGCAGCUCAUGAGCUGGUUGUGUCCAUGCCUGCGUGCAUUUCAAAGGCCUUGGAUGCGGACUGCCCAUCUCUUUCUUUCGUCUAGAAACUGCGAACAGGGAGGCAGUCAAUCACAGUGCUGAUCCACUCAUAGUGUCCCUCGAACACCACGAGAAUGGGUGAACAGUGUCCAGCCACGAGCUCCGCAGUUGUUAAAUUCUUCACCGACAAGGACUCACCUUUAGUGUGCCUUGUGGCUGUGGAGAACGGGGAUCCCAGUUACCUACCUACCCGGGGUUCAUUGAUGGCCAUAAUCCAUGGGAUUCUGUGGCUGAAUUCCAAUUUGCUGAUGAAGCUGCAGGCGUUGUUUUGCCACUGCGUCAAGGUUCUGGGGUCAGUUGCAACGCUUUGCAGUGCCAGUGUUGUGCAUCAGGUGGGGAAUAGUGUAGGGUUCCUGCAAAGAAGAAUUUUCAGUAGAAAAUAUGGAUGCUCAGACUCUGUGUUGUGUUGAACCAAACCCAAACUUGUGUUUGGUGUUUGGAAGAAGAGAACUGCAACGUAGAACUGUGAUGCGUGACAGUGUAUUAUGGCUUCAGAGUUUGCAGCCGCGGUGACCUCUAGAUGUGCACAUAAAAACACACACACACAUAUAUAUAUAUAUAUAUAUGAAUGAAUAAAUUCUCCUUUGCAAGAAAUGUUUGCAUGCUCGGUUAGGAGCCCUUCCUUAGUUUUGGAAUUGAUGUAUAUUAAUAUACAUCAAUGCCUGACAGAUGUAAAAGUCAGGCAUUGAUGUAUAUUAAUGUAGAACACAAUAAUGAGUUGCAAUACAAAUAAUUUAAUCAAGAAUUUGCAUCUGUAUUUCAUUAAUAUCAAGCAUUAAAUCAUUUAAAAAAAUUGAAGAAAAACAUAUAUGCAUAGAUCAUUAAUUGAAAAAAUCAUUGAAUGUAAAAUAUACAAUUAUCAGUAAUAAGUCUCUUAGUUGGUUAUUUAUUUAAAAAAUUUAUAAUGUUAUUUCUUUAAAUCUAUUCAUUAACAAAUAAAUUGGAACUUUCAUAAAAUCAGUAGCACAUAUUUUUGUCGGCUUUGCUAUAAAAGACUUAAGAAUCAAAAAUGUUUUCAAAAGAAUUAAUGGUUUAAAAAAAUUGAUGCUAGUUUAUAAAAAUAAUUCCACUACUUAAAGACACAUAUCUUUUGAUAUAUUUUCAUUAUUGUACAACUUCUUUAUGUAAAAUUAAGUAUGUAAAAUAUAAUAUUAUUUAAAACCUAGAUUUAAAAACAAAUAUUUUUAAAGUAUUAUUUCUAAUGUUAUUCAUUUUAAUUAUAAAUUUGAUAAAGAUAAUAAUAAUAAUAAUAAUAAUAAUAACAUAUUUUUUAAUAACCAAAUAAAACAAUAUUUUUUACAAUUUCACUCAAAUUUAUUAGGUUUAAUUUAAUUUUUUGAAUUUCUAAAAUACAUUGGUUAAUAUAUUAAAUUAUAAAAAUUCAUGAUUCUAUUUUUAAUAUUAAAUUUAAAAUCUAUUAAAGUUAAUGAUUAUUCAAAUGCUCUGAGAAUUGAAUUUUCCUUUAAUUACAACAAGCAUUUUUUAAAUAUUUAAUUAUUUGUUUCUAAUUAACUAUUUGAGACUAUGGUUAUAUUAUUUAUAAAAUUAUUAAAAUUAAAAAAAUUACUAUACUGUGAUUUAUAAAAGGGAUAUUUUUAAAAGAGUGUUCUAAACACCUUUUAGACCUUUAAAUUAUUUUUUUGGAAGUUUUUUUAUUUUUUUUGAGUCUAAUUUUUAAUUGAAUAUAAUAAAAAUUAUAAAUAAUAUUUUAUUAGAAAUCCAAAUAAUUUGUUUCUACUAGGUAACUUUUAAAGUAUAAUAAUUGAGUUUUUUAAUAUCUAUAAAUAAUAUAAAAAAUUCAAAAUUCAACUCCUAGAUAAAUCCAAAUAUUAUUGCAAAUAAUCUAAUCAAAAAAAUUUAAACUUAAUUUUUAUUCUUUUUUUUCUUUUUUUUCUUUUUAUAAAAAGAUUUAUACUUAUUAUAUAUAUUUCAAAAAUAUGAAAAAAUUAUAGAUAAAAAACCUUAAUAUUUUUUGUCAGAUAUUGUGAGAUGUCUAAAAUGAAGUUUUACCAAAAAAUAAAAUAGAGGUUUUAAAGAAAUUACAAUUAAAUUCAUAUAUUUUCUUUAGAAAUAUUUGAAAUAUACAUAUAUACAUAUAAUGAAAAAUUAAUUAUUUUUAUAUUUUUAAUUAAAUUAUAAUUAUCAAUAUAUUAUAAAAUUUAAUCUAGUAAUAGAUCUCACUGAAAUAAAAAUCAUACUAGCAAAAUUUAAUUGAUUAUAGAAAUAUUAAAAAAAUUAAAAAUGAUAACAUUUUUAUUCAAAUUCUAAAUUUUUCUGAUAGUAUUUAAAUAUAUUUUAUUUAUGAAAUUGUGAAUAAUAUAAUUUUAUAACAAAAAAAUUUAUAUUAUAGAAUGAACAAUAAAAAAGUUAAAUUGCAAUGUAUAAAUUUAAAAAUAGUAUGCACAUUAUAAUUGCAAUAAAAUAGGGUACUAAUUUAAAAUUUUAGUAUUUCUUUAUAUUAAAUAAAUAUUAGAAUUUUAUUCUUAAAUACUAUUAUUUCAUUCUUCAACAAACCAUAAUUAUGCUUUAACUUUGACAGUAGAGCUAAAUUAUUCUUCACUUGAAUUUAACAUGUUUUAUUUAAGAUUAAGUACAAAAAUAUGAAAAUGAUAUAUAAACACGUAAAUAUAUAUAUAUAUAUAUAUAUAUAUAUUAAAAAGUUGCUACAAGAUACUUAGACUAAAGCUUCAUAUGCAAAAUGAUUUAUUAGAAAAUAAUUAUGUCAAGGUCAGAACUCACACGAAGAAUUGUGAAGAAAGAAACUACAAUGAGUAACAAAAAAAAAUAAACCAAAGAAAAUGAAUAAACCUUGGCAUUCCAAUUGAUAGCUCUACUGUCAAAAUUGAAGUUGUAUCUAAAGAUUAAAACUUAAUUUAUAAAAUCAUUAUAUCAAUCAUUAUCACUAAAACUUUCAAAUAUAAGGUCACAUGUACCAAUAAGUUUAAAUAAGUUUAAUUUAAAAAAAUAAUAAUAAUAAUUAAUUUUAAAAAACAAAUAAGUUUAAUUUUAAAACAAAUAAGUUUAAUUUUAAAAAACUUGAGAUAGCACUCACUACCUAACUAUGUAAUAUUCUUAAAAAUAAUAAAAUUAGAAAUCAAAUAUAAAAUUUAAUGAAAGAAAAUAAAAGCUACUAUCAGACACUUAAACUAAAGCUUGAUAAAUAAAAUAAUUUACAAAAGAAUAACUUUACCAAGGCAAGAAAAAUCCUAAAAAUCUAUAAAAAAAAAAAAAAAAAAAAAAAAAAAAACUAAAAAAACUAAAAGUAACACAAAGAACAAAGCAAAGCAGAACAAUAAAAUACUAUCAUUUGUACCACUUGGUGAGUUAAAGUAAAAAAAAUAUAUAUAUAUAUUAAGAGCUAAAUUUUAAAUAGAAUGAGUUGAAUAAAUAAUCACAAGAUUUCUUUUUUUUCUUUUUUUUUGUGGAUUAGCCUAGUAUAAGUUUCAUAAGCUUUAAGUUAAGUUUUAAAGUAAUUUAUAUUAAAAUAAGUAUAUUUUGGAGCAAGUAACUACUAUUGGAAAUGUUAUAUGUAUUAAUAUGAUCAAUAUUACAUUAUAUAUUCUAUAUACAAGAGUAACACCAAGAGCCACAACUUCUAGUGUAAAAUCAAUACUUAAUAGAUAGUAUUCCACACAAGAGACUAAUAUACUAUAUAGAAUAAUUUUUUUACUACUUCCACUAAGACACUAAUCUUCAUCCUUGAAUUAAAUUUCAUCCAUAGUAAAAAAUUUUCUAUUUUUAAAAUGAAUAUAUAUAAGAAAUAUAGAAUUUUAAUUUCUUUUUUGAUAUUGCAAUGUUAUAGAGUUUUCUCAGAAUUCUCCCAUUGCUUCUUCAAUUCUUAGAAGGUAUGUCAUUUCUUGUGUUGAUUUGUAUUUUCUUGUUUCUUCCUAUUUGUUGUUCGCACAUUUCUUAUUUCAUUUUUAUUAUUUCUUUUUUUUUAUUGUUGAAGGAGGCACUAUUGUUGUUGAAAGAGAUAUUAUAAAUAUAAGUGUAAUUAGGGACUCCAGAACAAGCAUCCAUGCAAGAUUGGUCAUGGACGCAAUCACCUUGACAAUGUGCUUUGUAGUAUAGUGACGGUGAUAAGUUUUACAACAAGUAUGGUCAUAGACUCUACAGCAAGCAUGGAUGCGAAUUCUACAACAUGCAUUGCUACAACCAUUGGAAUAUGCCUUGCAUUUAUUUUCUCUUGGCAGUUUAAAUAGAUAGGUUUUCUUUUGUAUUUUGAUAUUUUAUGGAUUUGGAGUAAGUUAACUUAUUAAAUUAUCUCCUACUCUAUGAUGUAUUAAAAUGUGGAUGUUGUAUAAGGUCUUAUUGCUUUGAGUAGACCAAUAAGGCUUAAAUGAUUAUAAAAUAAUUUAUUUAUUUUAUAUUUAGAUAAAUUUGAUACAUGCCUAGUUGAGAUAGGCAUUAAAAAUAUUUUUCUUUGAGAAGAGACUUUAUGAAUAUAUUUGUUGUUAUAUGUAUGGUUGGCACAUAUUAUAGUUUGAUUUCUUUGAUAAGAAUCUUUUUUCUAGUGAAAUAGUAUUCUAAGUUCAUAUAUUUGCUUCUAAAGUGAUAUUUAGAAUUUUCACUAAGAACAAUGGUACUUUGACUAUCUGAAUAAAUGGUAGUUGGUUCAUAUUGAAGAAAUUCAAAUUCAUAUAAUAACUUUCUCAACUAUAUGGCUUCAACUAUUGCUUUUAUUAAAGCCAUACAUUUUAAUUCUAUGGAUGAUAAAGUGAUAGAUUGUUGUUUCUUAUUGCCCUAAGAGAUAAUUCUUCCAAUUAGUAAGAAAUAAAAUUUAUAUGUGGAAUGGUAGAUGUCCUUGUCACCUAUCCAAUCAACAUCAAAAUAACCAUGUAGAAUACCACCUCGAGGCAAAUAUUAAUAUUUUAUUCCAAAAUUUAAUGUAUCUUUUAUAUAUCUCAUAAUUCUUUUCAAAGUUUAAAUGUAUAUAGAUCCUAGUUUAGAGAGAUAUUGUGCUAAAUUACUAAUAGCAUGUGCUCAAUCUGGUCUAAAAUUAACAAUGGCAUACAUUAAAUUACCAACAACUUGAGAAUAUAAGUAAUCUUAUGAAGUAAUAUGGUCUCCAUUACUUAAACAAAUUCCUAGUUAAAUUGGAAUAGUUAAUAGGUUGAAAUUCAAUAUAUUAAAUUUACUAAGUUUAUUUGUUAAAUAUUUUGAUUAAUGGAAGAUUAUUUAUCUUUCUUCUCUAUUUCUUAAGAUGGCAUUGCCUAAAGUAUAAUAGAUUUUUUUUUCAUCUGACAUGUAAAAUUUUUAUUAUAGAAUGUCUUUAUUUGUUGAAUGAAGGAAAACUUAUUGUUGAUAAUGAUAUAGUCAUUAACAUAGAAUGAAAUUAUGAUAAAACCCUUAUCAUUUUUUCUUUUGAUAUAUAUAUUUGCAUCUGAUCCUAGAUGUUGAUAUUUGUGAAGAAUUAAGUAUUGAUGUAAUCUUUGAUACCAUGUUUUAGAUGAUUCUUUAAGAUCAUAUAGGAAUUUGUUUAACAUACAUACCUUGUAAGUAUGUAUAUGAGGUAAUCCUUCAAAAAUAGUCAUAUAGAUAUCUUCUUCUAUAAAACCAUUUUAAAAUAUUAUUUUUAACAUCUAAUUGAUAUAUUUUCAAAUUAUGUUGAGCAGUUUAGGCAAAAAAGAACUUUGAUGGAAUUAAGUUUGACUAUAAGAGAGUAUGUCUCUAUAUAAUAAAUACCUUGAACUUAGAUGAAACCUCUAGCAACUAGCCUCGCUUUAUAUUUGUCAAUACUUCCAUUAGCUUUAGUUUUUAUUUUUUAAAUCCACUUGGAACUGAUUGGUUUUCUAUAAGGAGGUAAAUUUUUUUAUUUUCCAUGUAUUAUUCUUUUUUGAGAAUGUAAUUUCAAUAUUGAUUGCUUUUUGCCAUUCUAGAGCAUUACCCUUCUCUAUUGCUUCUUAAAUGGAGUUUAGAGCUUCUACAUUGGUAGAAACAAGGUAGGCUUGGUAAUAUCAAUUAUAGAGUUUAUACUCUUUUCUUGUUUAUAUAGACUCUAAUAAUCUUGUAGUUGGUUUAAUAAUUCUUGUUGGUCAAGAAUUAAAAGAAAGACUUAGGUCUUGCAAUGUGGAAUAGACUUCAUUAUAUUCAAGAGGUAAGAUCUCUUGGUCAUUUGAUAAUGAUAGUUGAGAGAUGGCUUCAAUGAUAUUAAUGUGACAAAGGAGUUGUUUUCCCAUAAUUUGAAAAGUACCAUAUAUAUUUAUUGAUUGAAUACAUGUAUUUCUUGUAGUAGUAAUAUUGGUGGUGAAGGCAUUUGUUAAACAUGAGGUAUGUUUUGCUCAUUGGAACUUAUAGCUAUUGAAGGAUGCUUAAAUAAUUCUAAUUCCAUUAAGAGCUUUUUAUUGUCAUUUUGCAAGUAUAUUGUUGCUUUUUUAUUAUGUAGAUUCUCACAGAAGAGAAAAUCUUUUGAAAUUAGAAUUUGUUAACUUUGUGUAUUCAUAAGUUUAUAGGCUUUAGAUUCUUCACUAUAGCCUAGAAAGAUAGUCUCUUGUAAAUGAGAGUCUAACUUCUUUCUUAUUUCUUUAGAAAUGAAUAAAUAAGCUUUAGAACCAAAUAUUUUAAGGUAUAAUAAAUUUGGUUGUUUUUUGUAUCAUAAUUCAAAUAGUAUUUUGAUACCUUUUAUAAAUUUUUUAGGGCUCUUAUUUUGGAGAUAAUUGAUUAUUUGGAAUGCUUCACUCCAAAAAAAAUUAAAUAAGUUUGAAUAGGAUAGCAUUGCAAGAAUUUCUUCUAUUAAUGUUCUAUUUUUUCUUUCAAAAAUACUAUUUUGUUGUAGUAUAAAAGCUAUAGUAUAUUCUUAUUUGAUUCAUUUUUAUUACAUAAAUCUUUAAAUUUAUUUUAUUUAUAUUUACCUCUAUGAUCAAAUCUUAAGGUUUUAUUUUUGAAACUUGUUUUUUUUUCUACAAAAAAAUUAUAUAAGGUGUAUUUUUCAAAUGCUUUAAAUUUGUAUUUCUUCAAAUAUACAUGGAAACAUCUUAUUAGAUCAUCAAUAAAUUUAAUGAAGUAAGUAAAUCUUGAAUAUGUACCUACUUAUUUAGAACCAAAAAUGCCAAAAUUUACAAGAUUUAAUAAUUGAGUACCUAAUUAAAUCAAGAUUUAAUUUGCAUAUUGCAAUGGUUUGACCAAAUUUAUUUAUAAGUGUAGUUGCUCCAACUCUUAUGCAAAUUUCUUAUCUUCCCUUAUUUAGUUAUUUGGCAAAGAAUAAAUUCUUUGCAAGUCUUGAUAUAUGUAAUACAUUAGGUAUGAUCUUUUCAUUGCCAUUUGUAAGUUUGGUAUUUACAUCACCAUAUCUUUCUAUUAUAUAAGAUAUAGUAUUAUCUCUUAAAUAGAUAACUUGUUUGUCUUUACUCUUGAUGUAUUUGACAAAUCCUUCUAACUCAUAAUACAUAUGUUGAAAUGCUCCCAAGUCCACAUACUAUAUUGAAUUUGAGUUUCAAUUAACUAUAAGUAUUGUCACAUAUAAUCUAUUUGAUUUUGUAACAAUAUAUGUUUUUUUCUUUUUUUUUAUUAAAAUUUUUAAUUGCUAUUCUUAUUCUACAAUCUUGUAAAAAAAGUACUUCUUUUCAAUAGAAAAAUUGCUCCUUUCAUGUGGCUUGGAUGUACUACUCUUUUCCUCUAAACUCUUUUUGAAAUUCUUAUUAAAAUAAGAUUUCUUGUUGUUAUUCUGAAAUUUCUUACCUACAUAUAGUAUUGAAUUAUUAUCAGAUGUUAAGCUCAUGUUUUUUACGAGUAUUUCUUAGAUCAAAUCUAUUAUCAAGCAUGCUAAUGUGAACUUGGGUUGCCCUCUUAAGGAGCUAAUGUAGGAUCUAUAACUUGGAUGCAACUUUCUUAUUAAGGUAAGAAUUGCUUCAUCAUUUGGAAUUAUUAAUCUUGUUGCCCAUAAUUAUUUCAGAUGUGCUCUAAAGGUAUGUAUAUAUUUAAUAAUACUAUCACCUUCUCUCAUUUUUAAGGUGUAUAAUUUGUCUUUUAAAUACAUCUUAGUUAUUACAUCAUGUGAUUUAAAUAAUUUUACUAGUUCUUGCCAUGCUAAAUUUGCUAAUGUGCAAGAUUGUAUAUGUAAAACAAUAUUUUUUUCUAGGCAAUUGUAGAUUAUUGUUAAAGAUAAGCUAUCCUUGUUUGCCCAUGUAUUUAUACUCCUUAUUCCUAUGAUAGGUAAAGCUGAGGUUUUGGUAGUAAUUUUAGCUAUAAUUGGUUCCAUUAGUAACCAUUUUUCACCACUUAUUAUGAACUAUAACUUUUCAACCUUGAAAAUUGGUAUUAAUCUAUAUUAAAAUAUAUUAAAAUAUAAACCAUCAAAUUUUGGAAUAUAAUUGAUGCCCACUUUUUGUGUCAUCUUUAAUAUUCUUAAUUUGAAGUUGAAUUGAAAUUAUUUAUAAAUUUAUUCUUGAUCAAUUCAAUUUUACCUUUAUUAUUUAUGGUUUGUUUGUUGCCAUUUUCAAGUUUAGAAAUGCUUCUCUUGGUUUUUGAAGAACUUCAAGCUCUUCAUCAACCUUUCCUAUUACAAUAAAAUAUUUUAUUGUUAUCAUUACAAUAUUAUUUGUAAUUUCAACAAUUCUUUUCUAGAUUGAAACAUUCAUCUACUCUUAUAGUUUUUACGGGGCAAAUAUUUCUGUAGCUCUGAUACCAUGUUGGAAAUAUUAUAUGUAUUUAUAUGAGGUCAGCAGCAAUCGACAUGAAUUGAAUAUUAGUGUCGGCUGAGCUGGGGAGCUUCCGGAGUACAGAGAGAACUAAGCUGGAUGUUGGCUGGAUCUAAGUCAGUGUUGUGCUUGGAGACUUAAGCUUCGGAGCUCUUGUUCGACUCAGCUUUGGUCUAUGCACUGGAGCUCUGGUAGGUGAUACCACUAAUUUCUAGUUUGCAUCUACAAUUCAUAACCCCGUGCUGCUCAUGGCGAUUUUGACCUUGCCAACAAUACCACCAAAGGAGGUGUUCUUUGGUAUUCUAGACGUCUGAGAAUACGAGCUAAGUAUUUUUCUUGCCUGUGUUCAUCAGAUUGCCACAAGUAAGAGACAUCAUUUUGAAAUUCUACAUGUCCUUUUAACUUCACGGGCUUUUCCUGGAAAAUAAAAUAGAAUAAAAGGACAUAGAUUAAAAAGAUAAAUACUCAUUCCAAAUUGAUCGGUAAUUGAAAGAUCAAUAAGUCAACCUAAAGGCCCUUCAUACUCUUUGUGAAUACUUUACAUAAAGUCAAAACUCCGUAUCUUAACUACACAUAAUGAAGUUACUUUACACACAUUGUACUACGCAUCCAACACAGGCUUCUCCUCAGAUGCCUUGGCUGGAAUCAUAGCAUCGAUGCUCAUGGGCACAACUUCGCAACUCUUAAUCUGAUUGGUCGGUGGAGAACUAUGUUUUCAAAUUGCAAUGUUAUAUGGCACGCUUUAACCCGAAUACAUGUGGAAUGGUUACCUUCACAAGACAGAAGCACCGUUUGACGCCGACCCACAAACAUCAAAGUGCAAACCAGAAGCUGAGAAGCUUGAACGGAACUGCUGAUUGUAAUACCAAAGCCUGGUUUCAAAGUUCCUCUCUCGUUUUCAUUCCGUUGGGAUCAUCGCGCUCGUUCAAAGUAGCCCAGACGGGCGGACGUUCGUCUGUAUCUCGUCCAUGCCUACCCAUACGGUUUGCUUUGCGAGCUUUGUGCAGAGUGUGAAUGGCGAAAGUGGAGAGUCAUCCGCAAGGCUUGUGCCUUGCUCUGGAAAAGUCGCCACCUCCUCAUGCUAUCCUCGUCAAUCCAAUCCAUCGGAAUCUGGAUUUUUAGUAGCUUUUCCUGGACUGACGAGAUUUAGUGACUUCCUGCUAACCUGGUUCCGGAACGCUAUCCGUGUUCUUCGAGAAAGGAGCUUCUCGCCAUGUGCUAAUCUGCAGUGAGCGUCCACAAGUGUCGCUACAUUCAGAUGAGAUUCGUAUUUGUUUAUUUUGAAGACAACGAAUCAUCUCGCUGAGUAACAAGGCUUUGCAUCGAAGGUUACGAUCAGGUAAUUAAGAAGGAUACAAACUGUUAGGAGAGAUACAGUUGUGCAAAAUGCGGGUGGGCUGCAGAAUUUGUUUGAAAUCCUUUGGUCGUCACUUCUGGGAACUGUUCACCCCUCAGUGGAUAUGGUGCUACCAUACGUGAGGCUGCGAGGCCGCAGCCUGUUCGAUGUAAAUUCCUGGUGAAAAUCAAUGAAUGCCAGUCCUGUGGCCUCCAGAGUCGGGAGUUUGUACAGGAUUAACUUGUGGAAUUCAACAAUUCAAGUUUACGCAGUAAAUUUUGAGCGACCUCCAGAGCGCGGGCCCACCGAAAAUCCACUCAAAAGCGAUGCACCAAUGACGAAACUAGCAUGAACUGAUUCAAGACAUGAACGCUACAGUGCACGUGAACACCGACGGAACAUUUGUUAAUGAAUCCUCCUUGUUGCCAUCAUAUCAAACCACGGAGCUCCCAGACGCAACACCAUUUUACCAAGCCUUCAUGAUCUUCUCCCUCCUGCUCAUCACCACGCGGCUCCACCCCGUGCCCCUCCUCCGCGGCCUUACCAUCUACGUCUGCUUUCUCACCUUCCUCCUUAUCAACCAAGAGUCUAAAAACAAACAGUUACCCUGACCUCCCGAAUUUCCUCCACACCUCAAACGCCAUCAGUUAUCAUGUCCCGAAAGAAGAAGGACCCCUACAAAUGGCAAGAAUGUGGAUGCCCCAAGUCGGCGCUCAUCGGCGAAUUCAUUGUGGACACCAAACCGUUCUCCCGCACAUAAACACUUUCGACAAAGACGAGUGGACGAAGCACCACAUCUUUGACCGGGCAUCUCUAGUAACCGUCACAAAAGCAAUCCCCGAGACCCCACUAGCUCGAUGGAUCACCAGACGCUGCAACGAACAGCGGAUUUACGUCGCCAAUCCUCCGACUCGCUCCACUCCCGCACCGAAGCCAUGGCACAAUGCAAAACCCUCCAUGGACUGGACCUACCCCCCGGGAUGGCGCACCUGGGAGCCCAAAGACACCAACUUCAACUUCAACUCGGGGAAGACUAUGGAGGAAUACAACCAGAAUCUGAGCAAGUUCUUCGAGUACGUGAACAUCAAGGAUAAGUCGAAACAGGAGCAGAUGACGGACGGGGUAGAAGCAUGGCUGAUGGAGUGCGGGGAUGAUCGCAAGCUCAUCAGGGGGAGGCACCCUUACAAGAACAACCGGUGCUUUGUGACCAACGACCAGGCGUUGUUUUCGUAUCUCGUGACGGCGCGGGUCAAGUUGGAUCAUUUCCUCGAGGACUUGCAUCUGCCGAGGCGGAACAAGCAUUUCUGCCUCUUGGUGGACAUCAAGAUGGAUGCCAAGGUGACGCCCCAAGGCCACAGCUAUACCUCUAAUGCUUGACUAACAAAAGCAAGUGAGAGCAAGCGUCUGUGGAUUGAAGCACCGAGUGGCGUGGAUUUGUAAUCUCCUACUCCUUGCAAACGUUUUGUGGCUUCUAGAAAUGGUCUGAUCUGCGAGGUUCGAAUGUCGUCUCUGGAAGUGCCGAAGUGGAGAUUGCUGCAGGGUUGUAUGAGAUCUUCAAACGAUUCCCAUUUUAUUCGAGACUCGUUGCUCAGAUUUGGUAUGAUGGACCAUAAUGCGAAUGUGGUGACGAGUAUUUGAAACAGAGAGGAGGGACUGCUUCAAACCACAUCACCAGGUUUUUAGGGUAACUUCCAGAGGUGGAAGAAUGAAGAUGGAAAUAAUAUCCGUCAGAUUCGUUAGUGAAGGUAUUUCUAUCACUAUUUUUCUUUGACCAUUCUUUUUAAAAGGCACUUGAUUUCAGAAUUGUCGAAAAUUCAGUUGAUUGCAUGUAUAAGUGUCGUGGCAUUUGUAGCAGAGGCACGCUUUUUCAGUCGUUUUUUGUCAUUUUUUUUGUUUUUUUAAUUAGUUGUUGAAUCUCAAACUGAUGGGUCAACAAUAAUUUUCUUCCAUGAGUUUCGACAAGAGGGUGAAACCCCGUGAUUGAACAGGGCUCUUAAUGGCCAAUGCAGUGCAGACAAAAGUUGAAUGGAAAAUUAAUACGUUCAGCGUUGUGGUUGUUUACGUUAUAGAGCUCAUGUGAUGGUGUUAAUGAUAGGAGGCAAUGGACACUGCAGUACUAUUCCAAAGAGUUUACAAAGUCUAUCUACAAGAAUAAUAAUAAUAAUAAUAAUAAUAAAUCAUAAAAUAAACAAAAAUUACAGAGGAAAAAAUCAUGCUUCUUUCUACAGAAACAUAUGUUCAGCAUCCAGCUAUUGAAGAGAACCCAAUCCCUGUCGAGGCUAACUGAACAACUUACACAUAUGCUCACUGUCAAUAAUCUCAAUCCAGUAGCCAUCAGGGUCUUUGAUGUAAGCUAGUCCUUUGAACCUUCCUGCAAUAACCCCACAAACAUGUUGAGAACUUCAACUCCAUGUAACAAAAAACUAUCACAUUGAGGAAGAACUACUACAAGCAUGAAAAGCCUUUGAGUGGAGCUGCUUUCCAUCAAAAGUAUGACCCAAACUCACAUGGACAAUAUUCAAUCUUAUUUCUCCUGAACACCACAAUUAGAAGAGAUUUCAGCUGAAAAGAAAAUUGACUAACCUUCAUCUGGUUUCUUUACAAACGAUAUUCCCAGCCUCUGGAGCCGUUAACAUCGGUAGACAUCGUCAACACUGAUUCCAAUAUGCCCUGAAAACUAUGACAUGAGCAUUUGAGCACCCUAACCGCCAAAGCACCCUUUCUUGUUCCACUUUCCUGUAGUAGACCAUGUGAAGUCCUCAUCUAUGACCAAGUUUUAGCAAAGUUACCAACACUAAAACCAAGUUAUAAAAUUCCAGAUUACAAAAUAUGCGACAUUCUUCACUGCGUUCAAGGAUGGUGUGAUGAGUAGAACAAUGACCCUCUAAAAUGAAAUCAUGAAUCUCAUGAGCAGUUUUCAGAAUCACGAUUAACGUAAUCAAUAACAUGAAAAAGCUGUCAGCACACCAAAGCCUUUGAAGUCUUGGUGAUAUCCUGUGUAGUCUGGAUCGUGUUCUGACCCCCAGUUGCUGCAGUACGUCACCAGAAGUUAAGAAAAGUCAAAAGUCGAGUGCCCAAAAUGAUGGGGUCCAGCUACAACGAGUUCAAAGAUAUAAACUUUUUGUAACAUAAAAUAAAAUAUAAACCAUUAAGUUACAGAUAAUAGGUGUGCAAUUAGACGAACAUAUGCUAACUGUGCAAGUUCUAAAGUAGCAUGGCAGUUGGAUAAGUAUGCAGUCCUCUCCAUCGGAUCGAGAAGAAUGGCAGCAGGAUCCUGAGACAAUGCAAUAAUGCAUCACAAAAGCUCAACUACUCGAGCAUUCGGUGACCAUGAACAGAAAAUUCAUCUCCACCCCGACACCUGAAAUAAAUGUGACUUCUCCCAUGAUGGCACCUAUCUUUAAAUCAAAAAUCGACACGAAGACAGUAGUUAAUUCUACCUUGACGUAUCCCAUGUAGUACAUGCUGAACUCAGCCAUAGGGAAAUCAACUCUUUUGAUCAGCCUACAUCAUUCAAUUAAAACUUCAAAAUGCACCAAUAGUUCACAGCUUGCCAGAAAAGUAUUAUCAUGGAACACCUCGUCCGGUAGGGAAAUAAAACAGGAUCAGGAAGGUAGAAAACAUUACGUCAUGCCCAAAACACUUGAGUAAAAGUAGAGGCUCUCCUUCGGGUCUCUGAUUCUGUACAUCUGGUUGUCAGGCACACCAAUGACACAGAUAGUAUGAGGUGUCCAUCGCUUCUGACAGAUAAUUCAUCGUUCAUUUAGUGGCUGAAUAAGACGGGCAUCGAUGUCACCUAAUUAACAAUGCAAAGAAGCCGAGGGAACUCACCGUUUGCUGCAGAGAAUAGCCUUUGGUGUAGUCAAUGUCAGGAGUGUCGCAAUAGCCUGGAUUUCGGGCUAUGGACUCUGCUAUCUCGCCCUUCGGUUCCAUAUCCAUCACUUAUUUUGGUAUCUUCUAGCUUCUAGAUUAUGGUGUCAUCAAACUCCACUUGAAAUCGUAUUACAUAUGCUUCCAGCCAUUUCAGUGUUUAUUGAUCCUUCUUUUCAUGCGCCAUUCUGUGGUCGACGAGGACUUCACCAUAUCUCAACAGAUGUUUCUCUUCACUGCCAUGAAAAAGGGCUCACCGUUCAUUGAAAGAUGUAUCCCUUUCAAUAAUCAUCAACACGAGAGGAAGAGAGAACAGUUCCCUUUUUCAUAAUCAACCACAAUCCUAAAAAAUAGUUUCAUACAACAAUGUGUUUGAGCGUGACAGAGGAAGGGUUAAUUCAAGUCGCUGAAUUUGACUCUUAAAAAGCGAUUGAGUUUCUAUUUUAAGAGUCAGAUAGAGUGAAUGCAGCAAGGCUUCAUUAGCGAUUCUCAGCGAAUGGCUCCAAAAAUUUCUGAUGCCAGAACCUCCAUGGUGUCGGGUUCAAAAGCCAAUGCAUAGUAUCACAGAGUCCGAAGCUGGAAGAGAUGUUCUUGAGAUCAUACGUGAUAAUGCCGAAGGAUUUUACUUCUUUAAGUUUGCACGUGACAAAUGAACGAACGAAUUACCUCAUAGACAUUCUAGUCAAUUACCUAAUUCAAUUAGUAAAGCUUCUGUCAAGUCCGCACACGAUUGCUUUGCUAACAUUCAGGAUACAAACCAUCGAAUACAAUCGGAAAGAUCUGAUAUGCCACAGGCAUCCAAAUUUUUGCGGACAGCAAAUGAUCCGUAUCGAAAGGAAAAUUUUCCCACAACAAUGUCAGCGAAGGCAUUCGCCUCAAAUUCAUUAAAAAGGAGUAAGGGGAAUUUCUUCCAGUGGAACCCACUUAUUGCUUAACAAUUUCUGAAGACACCCUUCCAACCGCUGUGACAGGCCAAUAGGGCCUUACUUUCAAGGAAAUUCCCUCUACUCCUAUUCUUACAAUUUACAACAAGAAUAAUAUGUAACCAAGUGUGAUCCAGUGAAUCGAAAGUCUGAAAUUGACCUCCUGGUCACCUCCGAUCGAAUUAGAAUGCCUACAAGUAUUCUAAGCCUGUAAUUGACCAUUUAGUCAUUUCAGAGCACCCGGCUUAUGAAGUGUACAUUCCUUUGUAUACUCAAAUACGGCCCAUGGUAUCUGUAUCAAACCUGGUGAAUGAUAUGGGGCAUCAGUGCUUGGCUCACUUAUUCGCCUUAACCACAGCGGUUGAGUGGGAGAAUCACUACUUCCCCACCACGUCAAAACCAGCACUUCUACAUCAAUAGAAGUUGAAUCCUUUGCUUAUGAUCGGGAAUCCAAGCAACUGGAUUACUCCUUAUGAUAGGUUGACGGUAGCAUCCGAACCAGUCUGCCGGUGCUGUAAUUUUACAAGCUGUGUGUAGGCUCCAUCGGCAUUUGCCAUCAAUGCCGAAUGAGUGCCUUGCUCAACGACUUUACCAGCUUUGAUGACAGCUAUUGCGUUCACGUUGCGAAUAGUUGAAAGCCUAGAACAAAUAUUCACUGGAGUUAAUUACCGCAGCAUGUGACGAGAGAUAGUUAUAAGCAAUGCAUGUGGCCAAGCAAGUGGGAAUGUUCGAGGAUAAAACACAGGAAAACCAAAGACAGAUUUAAAAAGAACGUGCGUAGUUACCCUUCUAUUUGAGAUUUAAGGCAAUCAAAAUAAAUAAAUAAAUAAAUAAAUAAAUAAGGGGGGGAAAAUAUUUAGAGAAAAAUAGGUGUUCAGUCACGAAUUUCCCACCUAUGAGCAAUAACCACAGUUGUCCGCCGAUACAUCAUUCUGUCGAGGGCCUCCUGAACUAAUUUCUCAGAUUGAGAAUCCAAAGCACUUGUGGCUUCAUCAAGAAGCAGAAUAGAGGGAUCCUUUAGGACAGCUCGAGCAAUGGCCACACGCUGCUUUUGACCACCAGACAAUUGCAUUCCCCUUUCACCAACCUCUGUCUGGUAUCCGUUUGGUAGCCCAGAUAUGAAGCUGUGUGCGUUCGCAGUUUUUGCUGCUUCAAUGACCUCACUCUCGGACGCUCCCUCUUUACCAUAAAGAAUGUUCUCAUAGAUUGAACAGGCAAAUAAAGAAGGCUCCUGAGAGACAAGUCCGAUGUGUCGACGAAGUGAUUUCAGUCGCAUCUUUCGUAUGUCAAUGCCAUCUACAAAGACUGCUCCACUGAGAGGAUCAUAAAACCUCUGGAUCAAAGCAAUCACCGAGCUCUUGCCUGCAGGAAACUGCGAGUUAGUACAGUUGACACCACUGAUGAUAACAGCUCCCACAAAAUAUGACGUUUCAACAUACAGAUUAACAUGCCGCAUGCAAAACUAUCAUAUAAUUAACCUAUCUAAGUUUGGUGAUAGUUAAGAGAUACAAAAUAACAAGUAGAAGGGCAUCUUCCAUGCAAGGUAUACCUGAUCCGCUCUGUCCCACGAGUGCCAAACUCCUACCCUUCUUAACUUUCAAGUCGAAAUUGGUGAAAAUGUGAAUGUCAGGUCGUUGUGGAUAGGCGAAGCUGACAUGCUUUAGUUCUAUCUCCCCCUGAACUCUCGUCACUUCCUCUCCUAAGGGACUGUCGGGAUCUAUAGCUGUUUUGCGGUCUAAAAUCUCGAAAACCGAGGCAAGAGCAGCAGAGCCCUUCACUAUAUCAGGUGCCAAUGCAAGGGUCUCAGCAACACCAAACGCAGUGAUAAUCAGCACCAUGAAGACCUUCAACACUUCACUAAAGUGAGCCUUGCUAGAUUUGACCAGCACCGACGAGUACCACAAGGCCAAGCCGUAUGAAGAAUACAAAAAAAACUGAGACAAGCCGUAGCCAAUGCCUGAUAGCUGGCCCCUAAGAAAUGUUCGCUUCCUGGGUUCGUCAAGCUCGCGAAUGAAAAGGUCCAAAACUUUGUCCUCUGCACAGAACGCCGCUACUGUACGGAUGUUCCCAACUGCUUCUCCCGCCACCAUACUAGCUCUUCCAUAAGCUUUACCAAGAUCACCUCCAAAACCUUUCAAAAAUAGUUGCUGCAAGGACCAAUUAAGUAUUAGAAAACUUCGACUCAUAUGAAUCCAAUUAUAAACAGCAUUGUAGACAGGAGAAAUGUGAAGAGCAAGCAGGAAGACCAAAAUCAAUAUACUCUAUUUCUUAUAACGUGAAGGAGCCACAGACGAUGGACACCGGAGACGACAUGAAGAACAAGGUAUACACAUGAGUAUCUCUGCACUUGCAGAAGCUAACUCAAGUCACCAAGACAUAGUUUGUAGAUAUUAUUGGGUCUCGUAAUUGGCACUUCCGAAAUCGCCUAAAUAAUUAACCAUUUGAAUGAAAGCAUAACAUACCUCACCAACAGCUGCACCAACGAGUAGAGGGAAAGUUAGCAAGACAACUCCAGCCACUUUCCACUGAAGAUAGAAAGAAAUGCAGAACGCUGUAACCACGAGGGAAAAAUUCUGCACGAUGGUGGACAUUCUGUCUCCAACAGCUGCCUUCACUAAGGUAGCAUCAGAAGAAAGGCGUGCAGACACCAAGUUACUGUUAUUACUUUCCUCGUCAAACCAGCCCACCUCCUGAGUAAGAAUAGCUGCCAACAAGCCACAGUUGUUCUCAGCAAAAGAAGAACGGAGAAUUCUCCGUCUUGCUAUCAAUCUACAGAUCUUACAUAUAAAGCAGCCAGAAACAAUGUUCACAUUAGAAUUAGUGGUCAAAUAUAAAUUAGUGAACUACAGCGCACUAAUCGAACUAGCUUGUAUUAUCAGCAUUAGCAAAUAAAAAGAUAUAAAAACUUUCGAUUGCAUUGAGGUGGAUAAAAGGAAUCUUACAUGAAAAUAACAUCUUCCGCACACGCAUGGUUAGGAUCUCUCCCAUCAAUCCAUAGUAGUAAUGCUGCAAUACGUAGAUAACGACAGUUCCGACAGUUGCAGCAGAGAAGAUGAGGCAAAUUUUCCGGACCUCAUGCUCGACAUAAUCACGGUCAGGAUUAUAGAAUGUGACAAGCAUCUCACUGAUAGCCAGAGCGAACAGAGGAGUCUCGCACCCAGUCAUUAUGGCACCAAGUGACCCAAGAACGGCAUAUGGCCAUUCUGGGGCAUUUAUUUUCAAUAACCUCCACAUAGAUGGAGCUGGGUGAGGCUUCGGAAGAACAAGAGAAGCCUCGUUAUCCUCACCAAGCCAAGACUCGGUUUCAGGAUCAGUGACUUGACGAAAGCUACCUCCCAGUCGGAAACUAUCACUAAGUCGCAGACUCCAACGUUGACUCAGCCGUUGUGAGAGAGAACUGCCCCUCGAAUGCCUGGACAUCACGAUCAUUAAUUACAUAGUGCAAAACCAGUGGCAACGCGUACUACGUGCAGUGAACUGAAUUAUAUCAAUUUUCUUCCAAAAUAAAAUAAAAUAAAGUUGAAAUGAGGCAUUAUCAUUCAGCGGAAAAUCUUCAUACCUCCUCUGCGUUGAAAUUCUUGCUGUUUCGACCUGGUCCUGGUCUGACGAUGCUUCAGGCAUCUUGCUUUGUCCAGUUGCUUCUUGCAUUUUCACAAGUUGCGCAUAUGCUCCAUCUUGUGAAAGCAAUUCUCCAUGAGUGCCUGUCUCUACCACCACACCUUGCUGAAGCACAGCAAUCAUGUCAGCGUUCUUUAUUGUCGAUAAUCUGUGUGCAACAACAACUGUCGUACGUCCAAGCAUGAGCCGGUCGAGCGCUUCUUGAACAAUCGACUCAGAUCCGGAAUCAAGAGCACUCGUCGCUUCAUCAAGAAGUAGAAUGCUCGGAUUUUUAAGCAUGGCACGAGCUAUCGCAACUCGCUGUUUUUGUCCGCCGGAUAACUGAACUCCUUUCUCUCCAACCUGUCAGAAAUGUAAAAGAAUGUGACUUUAGUAAAGAACGUGGCACGUUGAAGUGAAUGUAAUUGCAGAAAGUUGCUGAUGUUGAUGUACGUGUGUUUUCACUUUAUUAUAAUAAAGAAGACAUGGAUUGAUUUAAACAGGGCUGGUGAUUCUUUUUACACCAGCUCCACACACCUGGGUGUCGUAACCGUUUGGCAGACUAUCAAUGAAGGCAUGGGCAUUGGCCGCCUUAGCAGCAUCUUGAAUUUCUUGGAUUGUGGCCCCGUCUUUACCGUACAAAAUGUUCUCUAAAAUGCUGGUAGCAAAAAGGGCAGGCUCUUGAUUAACCAAACCAAUCUGCUCACGGAGCCAUUGUAGCUCUAAAUUCUUGAUAUUAAAACCAUCCAGCAGGACCUCACCUGCACCACAUACGUUCACUGAUAUUAAUACAAACUAGAGCUGCCAUUGGAUUUUGUCGAUGUGGCAGGCGGAGAUGCCUGUGGCAACAUGGCGAACAUUCCACCAGUAUGUCGGGUCGAAAACGACACUUUACCUGAAGAUGGAUCAUAAAACCGUUCGAUAAGAGCAAUGACGGUACUCUUUCCCGAUCCUGAUCCACCAACCAAAGCUGCAGACUUCCCAGCCGGGAUGGUGAGACACAAGUUUUGGAAGAUUUGAACGUCAGGUCUUGAAGGGUAACUGAAAGCCACAUUUUUUAACUGAAUCUGCCCUCGAACUUGGCAAAGGAUUGAUCCGUCCCUGUUUCGAUUUACAAGGGGUUUCUUUGCAAUCAUUGACAGUAUAUUGUAUCCUGCUGCUUUCCCUUUUCCAAAUGUCGUCAAAUUUGGCGCUGCUUGACCCAAGGCACUGCGGGUAGACGUAAUCAAGGUGAGCUCUUACUGUCAAAAUACAUCUUAAAACAUGUCAGUUUAGCAAAUAUAAUAUCGUGCAAAUUGAGAUAACGAUAUACAAUAGCGAUUGAACACUUACAUUCCACUUAUGAUAACAUUCAGAAUGGUCGUGAAGGCUUCCCCGCCGUUGGUUACGUUAUGGAGCACAAGUAUGUGAGCAUACCAGAGAAGUAAAGCCCAUGCUCCAAAAAGCAGCCCAUACGUGCAUCCGACGCCCAACCCCUUGGCAAGGCCCCCCUUUUUCCCAAGUUGUAGGGUUGUUUCUAAGGCAUUUGAAUACUUCUUAACAGCCUUCUUCUCGCCCACAAAUGAGUACACCGUACGAAUUUGAGAAAUGGCCUGUCAAAAUACAAAGCUCAUCAGUAUCGAAGCUCAACAAGUGUAGGACAAUAAUCUCAACUGAUUGACUAGGAACAAUGUCGGAUUGAGAGGAAAAGUGGCUUAAUCGGUUAUCUGGGAGGUGACUUGUAAGAACCGAGUUCGGGAAAAGACGAAUCAAUAUCAUUUGUCGUGAUGAUGUAAUAGGUAUGGGAUUGGAAAUCUGAACAAACCUCCUCGGCAAUUUCUCCAGCUUUAGAGUAUGCCUUCUGACUUCGGCUUGUCAAUCCAAUCAUAACAACAGCGUAGGAACCUCCAGCGAUCGCAAUUAGAGGCACCACAGCAACAGUGACAAGUGUAAGCUGCCACACUGACGUGAAGCCCACUGCAAAUCCCGAAAUAAACCUGGCCAUAUAGUGCACAUAAUUACCUGCCUGCAAUUACAUGACAUAACUAUUCAGUCAUCAUUGCAAGCAUGAAUAUCACUCCAGUUGAGGUAUGUGCAGAGUUUUUACUCAGAAAAUGCGGUACUUCUUGAAGGUGAAUGAGUCUCAUGAAAAACUUCUCCGGUUCAGUCGCAAAGAUAAAUCAAAUACAAAAUUAAAUCUGAAAAUUGAGAGCGUAAAAAACAAAAAUUAUUACUUAAUUUUUUUUAAAUCAAAAAAACCACUGUAUUGCUGAGUCGUAGGUUCCCUGCAGUAGGUCCUGGUCAAUACUCUUGAGCUUAAGAGAAUGAUAGGACAACUUAACAUCACAAGAACGGAAACAGUAUGCGAUUGGUAUUGCUAUAUUCAUCUACCUUCUCACUAAUUGCAUCUUGCACCAACAACGUGUCGCUGGAAAUCCGACUGACAGUUUCCCCCGUGGUGGCAUCAGUGUCGAAAAACCCCACAUCUUGGGCAAGCAUAGCCUUGAGAUAUGCCACCCUCAUUCUUGCGGACUGGCGCUCUCCAGUAUGCAUCCAGCACGCGACCUCUGCAAUAAGAACAAGUACAUGUUUAAAAAUUAUUUUAAGGCCCAGCAAAGAGCGAUUGUGAAUAACAUCAUGCAUGUAUCACAGAAAAUUGAGUGAAACAGCCAUGGUCGCGGCCAAAAGUAGUUAACUCACCAAGCCAAGCUGCUAUGAGGACCACAAUCGCUAGGAAAAGAAAGUACAGAGCGUUCUGCAAAACAAUUAGAGCUUGAUAAGAAACACAGCAGAUCACAUAAUUUGGACGACCAAGAAACAAGUCAGUUGCAUGGAGAGUCCAAUAAAGUAUUACUGACCUCUCAACGGUGACAUUUAAUUUGUUUAAUAUAGUUAAGAUAUAGAACUCCAUAAGCCUAUUUUAAUAAUCCCUACUACAAAUUCAAGUGAAUCCACUUACAAAUUGAGAAUCGAAUGAUUUCACACGAGAUUUCAAGACAUUCAGCUUGGCACGAACCUUAGAAACUUCUGUACUCAUGGUUUCGGGGUCAUCGGCGUACUCUCCAAAGGCAUUGAUGAGUCUGCCAAAGAAAAUGAAGAACACUGGAAUGGCAACACCGUGCACGCACGCACCUAGGGUCCCAAGAAAGAUGAGAAAUACAUCGUAAGAAUCUGCAAAGGAGUACAGCUUGUAGUAUGGAACACUUGGAGGCUCCUCCUUUUUAUUCUUUGGCGCCUCCAUGUUCUUAAUCUGUCUGGGAGAUUUGAUUUGUUCAAGCUCGACACAUUGUAACUUAGAACCCUCCGACGGGAAAUCGGUCAAGAAGUGCUGCUCAUUGUCUUCUAGCUGUCUCUGUUUCGGGACGCUAUCUCUAUCCACGUCGUCCUCGUCCCUCCUGGACAUGCUGAAAGUAAAAUGACAAAGCUCAGUGUCUUUUUUCAGUGUUCCCCGAGAGUAGAAGCUGCCCGAAUAACCGUCCUUGACAGAUUCUCCAAUUGAAAUUCGUGAAAGCGCCUUUAGUCAGAGAACGGUCUCUUGCCUUGAAAUAUUGUUGUACAUUUACUCAGGUAGGGAUCGUGAUGGAAAAUGUCAGCAUUUUCAGAGAAUGAAGUAACAAAACAAACACAGGAAGCUGCUUGCCAAGAUCCCGCUGGACUGGUCGAAGACGUGGUCCUGAUGAAGAUGACAAGAUUUUCAAAUUUGUAAGGAGAUUUUUGCAAAGAUGAGAGUUAAGCACACUGAAAAGCGGUUGAGCUGAUGUUAUUAGGUAAGCCAAUCUAGACACUGCAUAAUGAACGACAGGAGAAUGCUCAUGAGAAUUCAAAGGCAGCACUGAAGUCAUUGCUACAAGGCCUACGACAUGUUCUGAACUAAGUUUGAUAAAGGUUGCUGAACAAUGCGAGAAAUCACAGUCAUGCUGUAGCUUUUUCCUAGGGACGCCUCAGUACUCAUUCCCAAAGGAGGAGGUGAAAUAAUUGCAUGAAGCCCGACGAGGUGUUUCUCUCGCUGUGCAUGCUAUGGUAACGCGACCAGGGAUUUAACUUCAGAAUUGGAAUCGCUUCUGGGAUAUUCCAUCACGAGCACAUAAGAAGUGCUGAGCCUCAACAAAAAGAGUGCAUUGGUGAUGCACGAAUAGGAUGUAUGAUACUCGGCGACUCAGUUCUUAAAAAUCCCAACUGUCGUCCCUCAAUGCUACGACAGCGACCAGACUUGGCUUCUAAAUUUGAAAACACCGUCCUACGAUUUGAUCAUGGAAGCGUAGUCCUGCGACAUCAAGAAGGGAGGCAGAACGAAACAAAGAACAGCUGAAGCUCCGAGCAAGUUUCGUCUCCAGCGUACGACUUUUACCACGAGCAUCACAACAUUGCAGCCUAAUAGCCACAACGAACAUAACCACCACAUGCAGGAACAACCGAUACACACAACCACGUCAUUAAGCUCACCCCGGCCAAGCAAGAAGUCGCCUCGCCGGAGACCCGCUCCUAAACAAGAACAGCUCCACACCUUUCACUGCUCCGCAGGGCACCAGCUGCCACUCUUCGUCUCAGUAGUAGCUCUCCUGCCUUCAUGACCAAUGAAAACGCAAUGCAGGCAGACACACACACACACAAGCACGCACGCACGCACUCUCAGAGAGCCCUCAAGUGGACAUUGCGUAACUCAUUUUCAUUGUCUCCGUGCUGCUGCGCACAGUCCGAGCUCUAGGAAAACCUAGCAAUGAGGGCCGCUACGAGCAAUUUAGGGAAGUAUGGGGGCAAUGCUGCUGCUGCUGAUGCAGCUGAAGAGUAGCAGGUCACCACACUGCAAUGAAGUUCUUGCAAAUGGAACACUGGAAAAUGGCAGUCCCCUGAGGCCUCUCCGACAAAGCCACAUAUUGACCCGGGCACGUCACCAUUGAGGGGAACACUUUCGAGUGCGCGCGUUCCCCGAGUCCGAGAACCAAGCCCACGAGCAUUCCCGGGCCGAGUGAGGUGUUCGAACGAGACAAUUUUGUUAAAGCCUAAUUAAGAUCGUCGACGGCGAUUGACUGAGCAGUUUCGUCAAGCAAUGUUCAUGAGUGAGAGCGGGGGUGGUGAGUCUGUGGGCUCCUUUUACACCGCCUCUCCCCUCCCCCCCCCCCCCCUCCCCCUAUUCAAUGCUUAUCAACUACCUGGGGUCACUGGUUGCCUAAGCUCUGCGUCUCAUUAAUCUACAUGCCCCCUUGUUGAUGUUGUAGAAUGUUACCCCAUCCUCCUGAGACCUAACCCAUCUUGGACUUCUCUACAUUGCUCACAUGCUCAUCACUCAAAAAGAGAAAGAGAGAGAGCUUUGAUUGAAUCUGUGAGAUGGUUCUAGAUACAACCCUAACAUUGACCACCAGCAAAUAAGUACCUCAAAAGCUUAUUAAUAGCUUGUCUUAUGUUUUCUUUGGAAGUUGAGAUAUUAUUUGGCUCAAAAGUUAGGGAUAAUUGUUUCUAUUUCUUUUAUCAGUGAACUAAUAUUUAGAGUGUGGGAUUUUACUAUCUGAUUAGGUGUGCAGAGUGAAGAGAUUUCAAGCAUCACAGUACAGGUGAUAUCUCCCCAUGCUCUGUAAAGUGUACCAUGUCAGCACUGGAAGAAAAUCAAAGACUAUUAUUUCCUAGCUAUUUAGUAAGUUAAAUAAAUAUUCUUCCUUUUUAUUUUUCAACAAAGUACCGUUUGAUUAUUUUUUUUCUGUCAUGGAUUCACUUCUACUCUUGCAUUAAAAGAUGACUUUAAAAAAAAUAGAAGUAAUUAAAAAAAUGAUUACAUAAUAUGUGUGAUUUUUUACUCUAAGUUGUCACUGUGGGUCUUUCUCAGGAAUCACAUAUGAGCAUUUGUACCACCUGAUUGAAGAACUCUGCUUGUAGAGUGGAGGUGGAGUCAAUGGGAGCCACCAGACUCAUCAUCAGCUUCUAACUGGUUUGUAUCCACUCUUUGGGUUGAGGGUGUUGUGGCAAUAAGAAACUCACAAACAGUUCCUUCUUGAUCUGAAUUGAUGUUAUAAGGAAUUCCACAUUACUCUUCCUUCUGGAUAUAUGCACAAUGUAUCUCCUCCACACCCAGACAAUAAGACAGAAAUGAAAGAAACUCCAAACUUCUAUUAUUUGUCCAAAACAAAGGCACUACACAAAUGUGAGAGAAAUUCUGAUAUGCAAAAGUCCUGUGAUACUAGGCAUUGCCUGGAGGAGGCAGAAACAGAGGAAAAUAAUAACUUGAUAGAGAUGUAAAGAUGUAACCAAGGCAAAAGGGGAGAUGCAUCCAGUCUGUGAUAUUAUUUAGAGAGCAAAUGAAUAGUGAGUUGGGAGAUGAGACCUGGCACCAUGCCUGAUGAGGCCCUACUACCAUGAAGACUCACAUUCAAGCCACAGUUCUGACAUAGAAAUUGGAGAGGAAGGGCAGAAAAAUCCAAGACACAAAAAGAGAGAGACCCACAGAUGCAUGCACAUGUGGGCCCUCAUCCUUAACUUCUCAUCUCACAUUCAUCCUCCCCCCCCCCCCACACACUCCCCCCCACUUUCCUGCCAAACUGAAGCAUGCCAAGUAAUGCUAACUCAAUGGGUUGAUCCCCCCAUCCAGGACAAUCAGACAUCCUGACUGAUGCAAGAGUACUAUCCUCCUUUACCCAGAUCCAUGACUUUUAUUGCUUCUCACUCCUGCAGCCCUAACCCUAAAAUUUUACCCUGAAACCUCUCAAAGACUUGGUUUCACUCUUCACCUCAUCUCAUCCUCAUAAAAGAAAGAGAGAGAGACAUUCUAUUACUGGAUUUGGCUUCAUGCCCUGGCAGAGACCCAGGGAAGGGAAGAGAGGGGGAUGUGAAAAUGGAACUUAAAUAUGUUUAGAGAGAACAUUACUGCACUAGUCCAAUUGGCUCUUAUGUUUUUGGUUUUAACUUUCUGCCAUGAACAAAGAGAACCUUAUCAUUGGUAAAAUUUCAUUUAUUUUGUUGUAAGAAAAAGAAUCAAUUAGUAUCACCACAUGUUAUUCUUGUAUUAUUCUUGUAUUAUUCUUGUUAUUCAUGUAAUAUUCAUGUUCUUCUUGUUUGUAUUAUAAGUAAUACUAUUUUGACCACGUGUGCACUCAAGUUCCAAUCCCACUAAGUUGGGCAAAGCUUCCUUCUAUCAAAUGUUGAAUCCUUUUUACAAUAAUAUAUUUAUAUACUAUUUUAAUCAACGUCAGCAUUUUUAGGUACAUGUAGAUAUAUUGUUUAUUUUUACUCUCUUAAAAAAAUUGUGGUGUCUGUCAAAGAAUAACCUAAAAACAAAGCUUACAUUCCACCAAAGUAAUGAUGUAGUGUCUAAGUAAAAUUUUAUUAGUAUUUUGAAGUUUAAGGUAUAAAAUAUGUAUGUUUUAAAUCAGGUUUUGUUGUUGCUCACUAUCAUAAACUUCAACACCUCAAUUGAUCUUUCAAAAAGCAUUUACACUUAAUUGCAUCCAACGUAAAGACACAGACUAUUGCAAGUUUUAACUCUUUGAAUGGACUUAAAUGUGUGUGGUUAGGAAUUAAAUUCAGAAAUUAUAUUUCUAAAUGAUUGAACAGCAUGAUAUUAACCGUGAGAUUUAUCUGUUUUUAUACAAAGAAUAUUCCAAAAUUUUAAAAAAGUGCUUAAAAACGUAGUGUGUUGUUUCAUGUAACAAUUGCAACAGGAUUGUCAAAUUUUAUUCAUUUAUUUAUUUACAUUUCCAUUUGUAUGUAAAAGUCAUCCUUACGUUAAUAGAUAGAAAAAUAUGUUUGUGCUGAGUCAUUACAAGCUUCAGAAAAGUAGUUGAAGCCUUAGAAAUAAUAUAAAAUAAGAACAUCACCAAGAUAAUUUAAGUUUUUAUUUUAAAAUCUCUAUAAUUGAUAUUUUCUGAUGGAAUGAAAUUCUGUUUACAUUUUGAUGCAGAAGUAAGAUAUUUUUGGUGUUUUACAAGACAAUUCUCUGAGUCUGUUUUAAUAGUUAGUUAGUUUUUAUGCAAUGGUUUAACAUUUUUCGAAAUAAUCAUUUUAUGUCCCUCAAUAUUUGAGAAGACCGAGUUAGUGAUAUUACAUUAAGGUUUUUAUAUAAACAAGAGUAGUUAUAUAACAAUAACUCAUAUGCAUUGUGGCAUUUACAAUACUUUGAACUACCUACUCAUGAUCUCAUAAAAUUACUUGAUUUUCAAUCUGGACCUAAAGUAAAAUUCUAAAUAACAAUACUUAUGAUUCUUGUAUUAUUUUGAACAACUAAAUGCAAUGACACUACUAAAAUUAGACAGAUAGAGUAAAAUUAAACCUUUUUUUUUUUAUAUAUUUUCAGAAAAAAUCACUAUCUUUACAACAAAUGAAAUUUCAUGAUUUGAUGUAAUAAUUACUAAAAAAUGUUAACUAAAUAUAUUUUUCAAUAGAUCUUCAUAAAUUCUAAAUAUUACUCGAAUUUUUCUUUUAAAAAGUAUCUUAAAUUACUUAUAAAAUCAUCGUUCUUGGUCUAUCCAGUUGUUUCAACCAUGUUACCAAUUGAUUGAAAUAUACAUGUAUUGUACUUAAUAGUGGUUUAGUUAUUGCAUUUCAAUCUAUUUUUGCUGAGGCAUUUCAUCUUCAAUAGUGUAUAAUCUUGAAAUCAUUUAUUAUUGAAGUAUAUCAAUUUAAUACGUAUAAUUUUGCUUAAAACUUAUGCAAAUUUUAAGAAAUUCAUAUACACUUCAUGUUUAUCAAUCUUAUGUUUUUUGACAAUUGCAUAGCUACUUAUUUUUUUAAUGUGUAAAGAGUGAUUGAUCAAAAUUUAAAUACUACCCACAUCACAAAAAUAUACAUAAAAUUGAGCUAGGUAAAUCUUUUAGGGUUUGUAUUUUGAGUUUCAUGCAAUUCUAUUUUUGCACUCUAAUUUUGUCCAUGUGUGCCAAAGUUUGGUAGAUUUCUGAGUUCUCAAAGUUUCAUUUUGAUUCAUACACAAUAGUUGGUUUUUUGUUAAGAUAACAAUAAAAUGAAAAGUAAAAGUAGAAGAAAAUCUCAAGUAUCAUGAAUAAAAAAAAUCUCAUUUAACAAUCUGCAUAAGAAUUUAUGAAUUUAAAGCGUUUUCCAACUUCCAGAAUAGAGUGGAGUAAAUCAUAAUAAAACCAAGCACCCAAACAUAAAGAUGUCUGGUGUGAUACAACUAAGGCUAGUUACAUAUCUAUUACAAUGUAACAAAUAUGUAUUUACCAACAAUAGAUAUGAAUUCAACAACACUAUGCUUGAAAAAGUCAAAUACCCAGUUUAAAAUUCUCAAAUAUAUAUUAAAAAAGUUUGAUGCAUAAUUGAGCAGUGAGCUCAUGGUUUAAACAUGAGGCAAAUCGCAUCCUAGUGAUUAGAUACCCCCCUGUCAUCAACAAUCUCAUUGCCAUACUAAUUGAGAAUGUUUUUCAAAUUUGUUACAUGUAUUGUUGUAUUCUUUACUCUCGCAGCAUACACUUGUCUCAUGCUACACAUGAAAAGUACAUGGACAUCGAAACAAAGUCUCAUGUUACACAUGAAAGUACAUUGACAUCAAAACAAAGGGUUUCACUUUCUUAUAACCAAUAAAAUCACCAAAAAAACAAAACAAAACAAAACAAAAAAGUAGAAAAGCUGAAAACAGAAAUAACUGUGAUUCAAUGUUCUCAAUCAACCAAUAGGCAGCAAUCCUUGCGAAAAAUCAUUUUCCCCAAAGAGGAAAGCAGAUAUCCCCCGAACCCACCACAAAACUAUAUUCUUAGAACACCUUACUACAUAAAGACAAAACAGAAAAAGAAAAGGAAAAGAAAACGCGUUCGUCAUAAAGCCACGUGCCAAUUCAUGAGAGGAACCAGCAACGAGAAUCCACCAACGGAACGAAACUGUUGACGCAACGCAACCGACGGGGCAGCGGAAAUCGUCACUUCAAAUCCCGACAUGGACGGACGGACGGACGGACGAACGGGCCAAAGAACGAACGAACGAACGAACGAACGAACGAAGGGACGGAGUGUAGGGAGGGUGGGCAAUGACAGGUAACGGCACUGGCGCAGGAAUCGAGGACACCGUGCGGGGCAGUAAGUAGGGUUCGCCCACCCGACUGAAAGCCCCACCCAACAAAAAGGGCUGGCUGUUCGCGCACCCCCCCUCUCUCUCUCUCACUCACCCACUCAUCAGCAACGAUGUCAAUGAGCCCAGUUCUGACUUGCCAGACAGAUCUGGGAUGGCACGCAGCGCAGGCGCACAGCACAGCCAGACUAACAAACAAACUCACCUCAACCACAACUCACAAGGCAUGGGAGGACGACGGGAGGAGAAUCCGAAAGGGAGAGGGCCAAGGAAAGGGAAAGGGAUUGGACAGAGACAGCGAGCGGGCAUUCCCACUACGACUUCCCAUAGCCCCGUCUCGCCCCCCUCCCCCACUUUGGGUCCCACGUCCUGCCCAGACUCUGGAUCCACGGCAUUUAGCAUUCUCGCUCACUUCAGGGUCCCGAUCCACCCCAGAUGCUUCGUAGGUGGGUUUGGACUCCACGGCAGGAAUCCAAGAGCGAUUGGUGAUGGGGGCUUAAUGGCUGAGGGGAAUGAGCUGGGACGCGCAGCAGCUCCACUCGCACCCACACUCACACUCUGAGCCCCUCACUAGCCCGUUCCUCCAGUGAAAAGUGAAGCGAUGGACUUCUCUUCCAUUCAGGAUUCGUUCGGCAUCCCCACGCAACAUGAACAUCACCAGUGGGCAUCAUGCUUGCGUGUUGUACAUUAGUGUUUCUCUAGGGCUUUGGUAACCUCUGAAUCCGACAGCAGCGGACUCCGUGAGAAAGAGAAAAACGCAAUCCAUUCUUCCAAGCACCACUAGCGCACGGAUAAAAACGAAAAAAUCACACCUCAGAUACAGACAAACUCACAUACGGGGUUGGACGCCACCUCGGAACCCCUAAUUAGGAUUAGCGAACCCCAAUGUCGCUAAUGCGAGUUACGCUCUGGGUUACCCACUAAUAAAGAGCUUGUGUGUCGCUCAUUAAUGCGGCUCGUUGGUGGAGUUUGAUGCACUGCAAACUGGCACCAUGAUGGCUGACACGCUUGGAUGGAGUCUUUUGUUUGCUCCCCGGUGUUUUUCCAGGCCACAGCAGUUGGGUGUCAGUACCAAAGUCCAAAGGUCCUUGAAGCACUUUCUUAGCCUUCCGCCAGCAUAGACAGUGGGAAACACAACCAGUGGAAUGAAGCCAAUUAUUAAUCUUCCCAUAGGACGUCUCAGCGGUCGUCACCAGUGAUACACCCACGGAAUCCAGAGCAACUCUAGUGGCAUGGGAGUUUGGUGAACUUGGCAGAGCCUUGGAUUCUUUCCCUUGCACCAUUCUUCCUUCCUUCCUUCCUUGAGAUGGCAUUCCUCCUAGUCUUUGCUUAUUCCAGGAUCUCUCACAGCCGCCGGUGGUUGAUCGGUGGUGGUGCUGCUGCAGGAUUCCUCCUGGUGAUCACAUCUCAUCCUCAGAAUCCUCAAUGCUGGUAGUGAUGGUUGAGUGCAUGGAAAAGAAGACGAUGAAGGAACAGUGAAUAAUGACGUUGACUUUCAUCUUUUGUUUGCUUCCAAAGUUGCCGCAUUUCUCUUCGACGUUCGUCAUUUGAGCAUGAUCUGAUCUUUCCUUGCAAUUCCUUGCACUUAUUCUUCCCAGAGUACUCAUUCUCAGAAUCCUCAAUGCUGGUGGAGCUGGGUAAGUGCAUGAAAAAGGAGACGGAGAAGAAGACGACGAAGUAAUAGUGGAUGAUGACGGUGCUUCUCAUCGUUUGUUUGCUUUUCAAAGACGCCGCGUUCCUCUUUCACGUUUGUCAUGCGAGCACAAUCUGAUCUGUCGUUGCAAUUUCUUGAACUUCUUCUUCUGAUCCUUCUCUCUCUCUCUCUCUCUCCAUCUCUCUCUUUCUUAUUUGUUCCACAUUUAGGCAUUGGGCAUGAUCGCAUGAUUGUGUAGUGUGUACAGGUCUGUUGGUAUAUAUAUAUAUAUAUAUAUAUAUUCACACACACACGGUAAAGUUAAAUGUUUAAAUAUCUAAUUUUUUAGUUCGAAAACAAAGAAAAAAAAAACUUCACAUUGUAAUGAAAUCAGUAUACUAGUUGUAAAAUUUGUACAUUAUCUUGUGCUUGUGAAUAAAUUUUAGUAGACAUGUGAACACUUAGAUUCUAGCACCUUGAGAAUUGUUGGAUAUUCUUUCUAUGUUUUCCCAUAAGAGCUAUCUCUAGAUACAUAGUAACACUUAAAAGAACAUCCUUUGUUCUUCAAUAAUUGUAAAUAUCCAAAAUGGUUGUUGAUUUCAUUGCCAAUAACUCUAUGAAGGUUGAGGUCAUCAAAAUCUUUAAUGUUACUUUUAUAAUACGUACAUUUAUUGAUUUUAUAAUAAGGAAAUUAAAAGACCUUUAUAAAUCUUAUAUAUAUAUAUAUAUAUAUAUAUAAAGAUGUAUUUAUAUAUUAUAAAUUAUAAAUUACUUAAAAAUAUAUAUUAGAUAAUAUAAAUAAUAAAUCAUUAAAAUUUUAUGUUUAUUAUAUAUAUACAGUGACAAACAAAACCGAGUACAAAAUCUGAAGUGCCAACUUUCAAGAGCAAUUACAGAAAUUUCAAUGAUUGCUUUAUAAAUCUGAAAGUUACAUGGAAUAAUACACACAGUCUUGUACACAUGUACAAAGUUGCACAUCAAAUUGAUAACUAAACAUCCUUCUACAAAGUCAAAUCAACAACUAUGUCUUGUACUCAGUAUUGUUCAAAGCAAAUCUUCAAACUUCAAUAUUUAGUCCAAUAACCUUUUGCUUCCAAAACAGCUGAAAUCCUUCUUGGCAUACUUUUGUAUAGUUUCUCACAAUCUUUUGCAUCAAAACUAGGGUAAAUACUACAAACAUUCUCCCACAAUUCUUGAACACCUCUUGGCCUUGGCGUGACUUGGCUUAAACACUAUUUGAGAAGGACCCAAAAAUGUUCCAUUGGAUUCAAAUCUGGAGAUUGAGCUGGCCAUUGAAGGAGCUGAAAUGGCUGUGAAGAGAGCCAAAACUGAACACUUUUUGCCAUAUGUUUGGGAUCAUUAUCAUGUUGAAAAACCACCUUAGUAGGAUCUAAGUUGUAAUUCUGUGUGGUACUUUCCAAGUAGGUUUCUAAAUUUUUUUUGUACAAGUGUUGCUCCAUUCUACCUUCAAUUUGAUACCAAGUACCCAGCCCAAAAGCAGUCAUACAACCCCAAAUCAUAAUUGAACCACCACCAUGUUUGAUAGCUUGACUAACAUGUUUAGGUCCAGGUCGUUCUCCUUCUCUCAACCAACACCAAGACCUACCAUCUGAGUUAAUUAGGUUUAUCUUUGUCUCAUCACUGAAAAUAACCCAUCUCCAAUCAUCAACGGUCCAAUUUUUGUAUUUAUGACCAAAACUCAACCUUGCAAGAACAUGUCUUUUGGCAAGUAGAGGCUUCUUUUGUUGCACACAAGCACCCAAACCAGCUUCUCUCAAACCACGCCUCAAGGUGAUGUCUAAGAAGUGUUUACCUGUUUUUUCUCGAAGUUGUUUUGCAGCUGCACUUGCCGUUUUGAGACAACCAGCAGUGACAAGGUGCACACCAAGUCGCUUCUCUUGCUCUCCUAAAACCUUUGGACGUCCUCCUCUUUGCUUUUCUAUUUCACCACUAAUCUCCCUCUUUAGAUGAGCUACUGAAGACUGACUCAUUCCAAGUGAGUCUGCAACUUUUCUUGUAGAAACACCACUCCUAAGCUGCACCAAUGCUUGGUGCUUCAAUGAUUCACACAACCGAGGCAUAGAGAUACAAUUGAAAAAUCAACUUUCACUAUAGAUAGUACACAACAAGAGCAACACAACAAACAAAAAAUGCCCUCAAAUCUUGCAACAAGGAGUGUACAUUGAAAUUUCGAAAUUCAGCAAGAAGAAGCAACCAAAAUUGAGUACGCAUGUCUGUGUGCUUCUACAACACUUUUCUCAUAAACCCUACCUCAAACGAUAAUGAGAUUUUUCAUCCAUGUAGAGGACUGGAUGAAUACACACAAUAAAAAAGUAAUUCUAUCAAUUGACUUAUGUGUCAAUUAGAAGGAUCAAUGAACUAUGAGUGUUCAGAUUUUAUACUCGGUUUUGUUUGUCAUUGUAUAUAUAUAUUAAAAUUGAAUAAUCUCUUGUAAGAUUUUAAAUAAAUUUGGCUUAGAUUAGUUUAAAAGAAAAAUUUAUAUACAAUUAUCAAACUCUAAAAGUUAUCAAUAAUUUAUUUAGUAGCUUGAGUAAUUGUUUUAAAAGCAUUUCAUAAAACAUUAUAAUAAAAAUUAUUAUUAUUAUUUUGUAGAUUUUUUUGUAAAAUUCAAUUUUGAUUAUUUAAGAUUUAUUAUUAUAUUAUAUUAAAAAUACUAUAUUUUCUAUUUUCUAUUUUAUAUGUAUUUUUUUAUUAUGAUAGUAAUAUCUUAUAUAUAUAUAAAUAUAAAUUUAUAAUUUUUUGGAAAUAUUAUCUUAUAUAAUAGAAUAAAAAAUAUUCAAAUUUUAUAUUUAAAUUAUAAAAUAUUAAACUUAUAAGUAUAGUUUAAAUUAAUUUAAAAUUUAUAAUAAUUAAAUUAGAUUAUAUUUGAAUGUAUUCAUAGGAAUUUAUAGAUAAUUACUGUAUUAUAUACUAAUAUAUUAUAUUUUUAUUAGAUCUUAAUUUAUAAUUUAAAAAUAAAAUAUUUGAAUAAUUCUUCCUUGAAUAUACAUACUUUCUUUUAUUAUGUCACAUUCCUUUUGACACAAAUUCCACAAGUUUAUGUAUCUUCUUCCAGUUUGUGUCCUUGACAAAUUAACAAGAGUGCUCAUACAAUAUCAGAGCUUUGUCUUUUCUUGAUUAAGAGUGGAUUAUCUCUUUCUCUUGAUAAGACAUAAGCGUAUUAGAAGUUAUAGAUUACCUUCUUUUAAACUGAUAUUAUUUAUAGAUUUUUUUAUUUUUUAUUUUAUUUUAUUUUAUUUUAUUUUUAUUCUUAAGUAUUAUAUUUUGUAAGAAUAGACAACUUUCUUUUUAUUGUUCUAGCAUGGCAGAGCUUGUUGAAAUGAAGAGUGCAAUGGCUCAAAUGCAAGAGCAAAUGAGAGAGUUAAUGCUUACAAUGCAUCAACUCAGUCUACCACCACAAGGAGCAACAAGAUUAUCAAGUAAUGAAGAUAUAGAGAUGAUUGUAGUUGCUUCAACGUCUACACCAAGCUAUACUAUUGCUCCUACAAUGGAACAUUAUUUAAGUUUCAAAGAACCAAAAAUUGGAUUGCUUGAAAAGUUUGAUGGCACAAGAUCUAAGUUUUGAGGAUUCAUGAAUUAGAUAUAACUGGUGAUUGAACUACAGCCUCAAAGUUAUCCAACUCAAGGAUUACAAUUCAGGUUUAUUGGAACACUACUUUCAGGUUCUGCUUUAUCAUGGUUUUCAUUAUUUCUUAAACAACAUGAUCUAAUAUUGGAUAAUGUGGAAGCAUUCUUAGUAGAGUUUUGAUCUAUAUAUGGAGAAUAUGAUACAAUCCAUAUUGCAACCAACAAGAUUUAUAUCUUGCAAUAAAGCAAUCAAUCAGUGAUAUUAUAUACUUUACAAUUUCAACAAUUAGUGACAAAUAUCAAGUGGGAUGAUGUAGCACUGAUCAGCCAAUUUUUCUACGGAUUACAAUAUGAAGUAAAGCAAUUGAUGCUCAAUUUACAUGACCCUCACAUAUUGAGUCAAGCAAUUAAAUUUGCUGUGAAAUGUGAUAAUCAAUUUUUUGAAUUUUGAUCUGAGAAUUGCAUAAUAGAACCUCAAUAUUAUUAUAAUUCAAUGAUGACACGAACAACUUCUUAAUCUAAAUAUUUGGAAGUAGAAGACAUGCAAAUCAAUCUAAUACAUUUUAAACCUUUUAUUGAAUAAAAAAAUACUUGUCUUUAUUAAUAAGGAUUAUGUUUAUAUUGUGGAGAAGCUAAGCACAUUGCUCAAUAUUAUCCAAAGAAACGAUGCAACUACAAAAUGAGGAGUAUUAUUGUCAAAGAUGAAAACAUGUUAGAAAACAAAUUUGUCCAACUACAAUAGGGACCGUGUGAUUGGAAUCUUAUACAAUUCCUAAUGAAGAUUCUAUUCUCUGCUUAGAACCCUCUCUUUGUUUUACAAUAGAUGUGCAUUUAGGAUCUAAUAAUCACAAAGCCUCUAUCUGAAUAGAUUCAGGAGCCCUAGCUUGUUUUUAGAUAAAAAAAUUGUUAAAAGUUAUAAUAUACAGUUAUUAUGAAAAACUAAACAUGUACACAUAAAAGUCAUAGACGAUUGUUUGUUAUCUUCUGGAGAUGUUAUUCAUGAAACACUUCCUAUAGAUGUAGUAAUAAAUAGUCAUAAUAAUUGCGUAAUCUUUAAUAUAAUUAAAUCUCCCUUUAAUUCAAUCAUUUUAGGUUUGUCGUGGCUAGAAAAGUAUAAUCCUGUGAUAGAUUGGAUUUUUUAUAAAAUAGACUUUUUUUCAUACAUCAUUAAGAUUUUUUCUAAUCUAAUAGAAAGCUAUGAGUCUAGUAUAGCCAAACAUGUACUUGUAGGUACAAAAACUUUUUUGCAUGGUGCAAAAGAAUGAUCAUCUUUUGUUAUUUAUGCAACACCCAUUUUAAAUGAUGAAAAGAUUUCAAGUAAAAUUCCAAGUCAAUAUUAAGAUUUUCAAGAUAUUUUUGAGAAGAAGAAUACAAAUAUUCUCCCAAAGUAUCAUCCAUAUGAUUGUUGAAUCGAUCUUAAAGAAAUAACUGAGCUACCAUUUAGUCUAAUCUAUAGUUUAUCACAAAACGAGUUGGCUGAACUCAAGGAGUACAUUGAUGAGAACUUAACCAAGAGUUUCAUACGCCAUUCAAAAUCUCUUGUAAGAGUUCCUAUCUUAUUUGUGAAGAAAAAUAAUGGAUCAUUGCAAAUGUGUGUAGAUUAUUGAGGACUCAACAAGAUUACCAUCAAGAAUAUAUAUCCUUUGUCUUUAAUAUUUUGACUUUUUAAUCAAUUAAAUCAACCUAAGAUCUAUACAAAAAUAGAUCUAUAAAGAGCAUACAAUUUGGUCCGCAUUGAAGAAAGAGAUGAAUGGAAGACUGUAUUUUGAACAAGGUAUGGACACUUUGAAUAUAAUUUCAUGCCUUUUGGAUUCACAAAUGCACCAAUUAUUUUUCAAUAUCUUAUGAAUGAUAUUUUUUACGAGUUUCUAGAUGAUUUUAUUAUCUAUUACUUAGAAAAUAUUUUAAUCUAUUCUAAGAACGUAGAAGAAUAUGAAGUUCAUGUUCGUUGUGUAUUACAAAAACUUAGAAAUGUAAAAUUAUAUGCCAAGAUAGAAAAGUAUGUAUUCCAUACUAUUCAAGUUGACUUCUUAGGAUACAUCAUUUCAAACAAUGGUUUAAUGAUUGAUCCUAAAAAAUUUCAUACAAUCAUGGACUAGAAGAUUUUAAAAAUAGUAAGAAAUAUAUAGUACUUUUUAAAAUUUGUCAAUUACUAUCAGAUCUUCAUCAAGAAUUUUUUUCAAGUUACAAUGCCACUUACACGCUUAACUUGUAAAGACAAGCUUAAGUAUAGUAAAGAAACAAAAAACAUCAUUUGAAGCUUUAAAGGAAGUUUUUAUUUUUGUACCAAUCUUACAUCACAUCGACUUCUUCUAAGCAUUUUUUAUAGAGACAAAUGUAUCUGACUUUGCCUUGGAUGCAUUUUUAUUACAAAUAAGAGUAAAUGACAAACUUCAUCUUGUAGCUUUUCAUUCAAGAAAAUUUUCAGCAAUCAAGAUUAAUUAUGAGAUCCAUGACAAAGAACUUCUUGUAAUUGUGGAUUCUUUUCAAGAAUGACAUCAUUAUUUAGAAGAUGCUUCAAGUCUAGUCAUUUUGUAUAUAGAUCACAAGAACAUCAAGUAUUUCAUGUUAGUACAUAUUUUGAAUUAUUGUUAAGCUUAUUAGAGCAUGUCUUUGUCAAGAUUCGAGUUCAAUAUCACUUAUCGACUAAGAAAACUACAAGGUUUGUCUGAUGCCCUUUUUAGAUGUUUUUAUCUUAUACCAAAAGAAGAACAAGUAGCUUUUGACUAAUAAAAGAUAAUUUUAAUGAAAUUAGAAUAAUUUCAUCUAUGAGUAAUGAAAUCAACAUUGACUAUUGAUUUGACUUUUUUCAAGUAGAUCCAAGCAAGUAUGUCUUCAGACCUUCUUGUUCACGAUAUUAAAAAGAAUUCUUGUAAGUCUCAAGAUACUUCCAAAUUUGAGUUUAAAGAGAACCUACUCUAUUUCAAAGGAUGCUUAUAAAUUGGAGAAGGAGAAGUACAAUUACGUGCUCUUAAAACUUGUCAUAAUUUCCAUACAAUAAGAUAUUUUGGAUAUAAUAAGACUUUGGAGCUUAUAUGUAGAGAUUUUUAGUAGCCUCAAAUGUGAAAGAUUGUUAAAGAAUUUGUACAGACAUGUGAUAUUAGUUCAAGAUCAAAAACUCCUUGUCAUUGACCUUAUGGACUCUUCCAACUAUUAUCUAGAGCAAAACAACCAUAGUCCUCUGUCUCUAUGGAUUUUAUCACGAAUCUUUCAAUUUCAAGUUCAUAUGAUUUCAUAUUUGUGAUUGUAGAUUAUUUCACCAAGAUGGCAUAUUUUGUACCAUGUACAAAAUCUAUCACAUAUAAAAAAACAACUAAAUUCUUCAUUGACAAUAUCUAUUAUUAUCAUAGAUUAUCAAGGGAUAUUAUAUCAGAUAAAGAAACAUAAUUUUAUUAAAAUUUUGGAGAAAUCUUCUCAAGUUAUUGAAAGUGGAUAUAAAACUAUCUUUGGCUUUCCAUCCUAAAAUUAAUAGACAAACAGAAUGGGUAAAUCAAGUUUUAGAGCAAUAUUUGAGGUAUACCAUCAACUAUCAACAAGAUGAUUGGAUAAUUCUUUUGCCAUCGGCAGGGUUUGCUUAUAAUAAUUUGGUACAUUCUUCUACUCAAUAAACACCUUUCUUUGUCAAUUAUGGUUAUCAUCCUUGAUUUGACACUUUUGACUUUUCAAAAGUUGAUAAUCAUGUGACGAAAGAUGUGACAAAUCGAUUGUCAGAGCUAGAUGCAAUAAUAAAGGCAUAAUUAAAGGAAGCUCAAAAAUGAAAAAAAACCAACACAAAUGUCUAUCACAAGGAACAACCUCAAUUCCACGUAGAGAAUAAGGUAUGGUUACUCCAUCAUAAUAUUAAAACUAUUUGUCUUUGUAAUAAGCUGGAUUAUUAUAGCCUUGGACCAUUUCUCAUUUGUGAACAAAUCAUUCUAGUUGCUUAUCCAUUAUAUCUACCAAAGUCUAUGAAAAUCCAUCCUAUGUUCCAUGUAUCUUUACUUAAGCCAUACAAGACAAUGGAUACAUAAGAAAAGAGACAAAUGCCACCACUUCGUAUAAAAAAAGAUAAUAAUAAAGAAUUUGAGGUGGAAGAAGUCUUAGAUUUAAUGCGUGGCCAAAAUAGGUUAGAAUAUUUGGUACAUUAGCAUGGAUAUGACAUUAAUGAAUGCACAUAGGAGCCAUCUAGGAAUCUAACAAAUAUAUUAGCUAAAUUUAAAGCUUUUCAUCAAUGACAUCUAUCAAAACCAAGAUGAAGAAUUAAGAAAUUUUUUACUAUAAAGCAAAGUAAGUCCAAUGGAGAUUUCAUUUUAUCUUAUAACAUUGUUUCUUUGAAUUUUUUAGUGCUUGGAAGAUGGAGAAUCAACAACCAACAAAUUCAAUUCAAGAGCUAUCAUUUGCUAAGCUACCAGAUGAGACAUUGCA
rnacentral:lncRNA from 1 species